rnacentral:lncRNA from 1 species
CGCAGGAGAGAAGAGAGACACAGCCAGGCCAUGAGGACGGGAGAGUCACGCCGACUCCCAUCAGACCCAGCCACCCUCCUGCAAAAAAAGGGUAAGAAAAAUUAGCUAUGUGUGUGUGUGUCAGUAUGUAUCUGUAUGUAUGUCAGUAUGUGUAUGUAUGUAUAUGUAUGUAUGUCUGUAUCUAUGUAUCUGUAUGCAUGUCAGUAUGCAUCUGUGUAUAUGUAUGUCUGUCUGUAUGUAUCUGUAUGCAUGUCUUUGUAUGUAUAUCUUUAUGUAUGUAUAUGUAUGUUUGUAUGUAUCUAUUUAUCUAUCUGUAUGUAUAUGUAUGUAUGUAUCUGCAUGUAUGUAUGUAUGUAUGUCUGUCUGUGUGUAUGUAUGUAUAUCUAUCUGUAUUUGUGUGUAUGUAUCUGUAUGUAUGCAUUUGUAUGUAUGUGUAUGUAUGUAUGUAUGUAUGUCAGUAUGUAUGUAUGUGUAUGUAAGUCAGCAUGUAUGUAUCUGUAUGUAUGUGUAUGUAUGUAUGUGUAUGUAAGUCAGCAUGUAUGUAUCUGUAUGUAUGUGUAUGUAUGUAUGUCAGCAUGUGUAUUUAUAUGUCUGUCUGUAUGUCUGUCAGUGUGUAUGUAUGUCAGUAUGUAUGUCCUUAUGCGUGUGUGUGUGUCUGUAUGUUAGUAUGUGUCUGUGUGUUUGUAUAUGUCUAAGUGUCUGUUUCAGUAUGUGUGUAUGUUUGUUUCAGUAUGUGUGUCUGUUAGUAUGUGUGUGUGUCAGUAUGUGUGUAUCUUUGUGUGUGUGUGUGUGUAUCUGUGUCCUUUUUGUAUCAGUGCAUGUGUUUGUGUCUGUGUAUUCAUGUGGACGAGGUUUGGAGGCAGGCUUUGGGGGCAUACUUGGAGGCGGGCACCCGGGGGGCCCAGACCUUGAGCAGUGUUAGGGGCCCCAAAAUUUCUGAUGGCGGCCCUUCAAGCACACAAAAAAAGACUGUCUCCGGACUUUGCCAGCACAAACUUGGGAUCACUCUGUGGGUUAUUAACUAAAGUGAAAGUUCAAAGUAAAUUUCAAAUUAAAGUCCAAAGAGGAAGCAUGGCUGAAAUAGAGAAUUUUUCCAGUUUGGGAAGUUCUAUUUUGACCUUAACGGAACACUAUAGUGUCAAGGAACACAUACAUGUAUUACUGAAACUAUGGUUGUAAAAGUUGUUUAGGUGCUCAGCCCUUAACUCCUGUUAAAAAGGUGUUUUCACUGACUUUUUUUCCAGAGCCAUGCUGGUCUCGUUGCGGCUGGCCCCGGCCCGCUCUUCUCUGCCUCCUUGACUGAGAUUAUCAAAUUUGCCAAUCUCAGCCAAUCCAAUGCUUUUCCAAGGGAAAACAUUGGAAGGCUUUUGCGCAUGUGCAACAAAAUGCUGUGCUGCACCAAUCAGCAUUACCUCAUAGAGAUGCAUUGAGUCAAUGCAUCUCUAUGGGGAGCGUUCAGCAUCUCCAUUGAGGAGUGGCCACUAGAUAUGUUACUAAGCAAGAAUUUAAACACUGCCUUUUUUUCCGAAAAGGCGGCAUUUAUAUUAAUAAUUCUGCAGGGACAGGCUGUAGACACCAGAACAUUAAGCUGUAGUUGUUCUGGUGGCUCUAGUGCCCUUUAAGUUUGUCCCUUUAAAAUUCACUUUGAAUUCUCACUUUAGUAAAUAACCAUGUUUGUCUCAUGCAUCGAAAAAAGUAACUUAUUAUUAAUAGAAACCUGUCAUUGAAUAUGACACAGAGAUUGUUUAAAGUGACUGCUACUUCAUGUCAUUAUUUGAGCAUUUCAUAAAGAAUCUUUGAAAAAAAAUAAUUGUUGACUAUGCUGGAAUUUCAUUGAAAUUCCAAAGCAAUCAAACCAUAUAAGUCAGAAAGUAGAAAAAAGUUGACGAAAUUGGCAAGUUGAUAAAGGUUGACGAAAGGCGGAGCUUCUAGCAUGCAGGACUAGUACGGUCACGUAUUAUGUAGUAUUAGAGUAUAAAUUGCCACUCAGAGGGUUAGGCUGUCAUUGUUCAGCAUGGUUCUGUGUGGAUGUGUCUGCCUGUGAACUUUGUAAUGAGUUAAUUUGGUUUAACUAGUGGGAGUGGAGAACAGCUUCAGACUCACAUUCAAAAAAAGCUGCUAAUUGUACAUAGUAAUUUGUAUCUGCUUAGUCUAGGCUUCCCCAAACUCCGGCCCUCCAGAUGUCGCUGAACUACAAUUCCCAUGAUUCUCAGCCUAUCUAUUUCAUUCAUAGAAUCAUGGGAGUUGCAGUUCAGCAACAUCUGGAGGCACAAAAGAUAAUUAUUCACAUAAUUUGUAUAAGUACACACAUACAAAUAGUAAAGUGCAAACAUGCAAAGUAAUCACCUAACCAAUAACCACAUAUUCUAGGCAAGUAAAGUGAUCAAUGCCUAAACCCAAAUGUAACAGGUGUACUGACAAUGAGCUGGAGACCACAGCACCCCAGGGGUGUCGGCUGACAUAGCAGGUGCACACAUGCACAUGAACACAAUAAUCACUAGUGUGCAUGCGCCUUACCAAUGGUCCUUUUUUGGUUCUUUAAAGGGGAAGUAGUCCAGUAAAUGCACUCCAUUUACACUUCCCUAAUUAACAUAAUUAACACAAUUAAUUCCCUAGCCUAUCAAUACACAUAGACCUAUUGAUACCUCCCUCUGACAUCACUUUCUUUCCCCGUCGUGGUCUUUUUAGGCUGAGGGUGCGUUCCUAUAGCUCUGACUUUUCCGGUAUCAUUGGCUUUGUAUCUGGUUUAUCCAUUACUCUGGUAUCCUUGACCCUUGGCUUUGUUCUAUGAUUAUCCUUUCGUCUCCUCUCCUGACCUUGGCCUGUUUGUCUAUUCUCUACCUUUUUCUAUUUGCCUAUCUACGUCGCUACGUCCGGCAACCCUAAGGCCCAGUAAUACGUCUUUGUGUAAAGGGCCUCCAUUGAUUGCGUGUAUGGGUAUUAGUCCUAGACAAGGGAUUUGCUUGCAAUUUUUUGUUUGAUCGACAAUUUUUUAAAAUCUAACUGAAAAUAUUUCAACCAAAAUUGUAGAGAAAUUAAAUAUUUUGGAAAUCUGAACUAAAUCAACCGCGUAGUUAAGGGUUAAGUUCAGCCUAGAAAGAUGCAUACACUUACCACUGAGAUCAGGCCCCUUUUUAACGCCUUAUUUAAAUCAAAACUGUAAAUAUACAUAUGUUUGAUUUUCUCAGCUAUCCUUGAACUACAAUCUAUAUACAAAAUUGCACUUUUUCCCUGUCCUGUUUAAAUAAAUACUACACUUUAAUGGCAUUCCUUCAGUAAAAAAAGGCGUUAAUUGUGAAUCUCUAAACCAGAGGUGCCCAAAAGACCGGUCCCCAGAUGUCACAGAUAUUGCAAUCCUGCAGUUUUACAUUCAAAUACAUGUUUAUUACUGGGAUUACAUGAGAUAUGUUUUAUUCUGCACCAAAAUAUUUGCUACCUAAUGAGUGCCUGUGAGUUUAUUGAAUCAGAUACUGCUUCACCUUGUGUAUGGACAUUCACUCAUUAAACAAAAUAUUCAGGUACAAAUUCACUGUCCAGGGGAGUGUAAACCCUGCAAAGAGUAAAAACAAGAAAAUGUUCUGACUUUACCAUCCUUUCAUUCCAAAGAAUACAAAGAAUAAUUCAACAGGGAGAUUUUAAACAUAAGUAAUGUUAUUUAUUCAAAUACUAGAGAGCUUGGCACACAAAAAUAAAUUAAUUCAUAAAAGUCGAAGCUGCUCAAACCAUGCAAUAUAAUCAUUUUUUUUUCUUGUCACUUGGUGUUCUAGAUAUACCCUAUAUUGAUCAAAGCCAAUGAUCCAUUAGUGUCAAUGAAUUUACCUGUGCUUAAACUACAAGAAUAUUUUUCAAUUGUAUAAUAGAUAUGUAGAUAUACUUCAUAUUUUCAGUGCUCACUGUGUAAAUGUUUCACAUGCAUAUUGUUUAAACUCUGCAAAACCGCCUAUCUGAGGCACUGAGCACUUUUAAUGCAAUUCUGAGCACCUUACUCUGUAUGACACUACCUUACUUUACUGGUUUGGGUUGUACAAAUGAGUAAUGUAUCUAUGAUUAUGCAGAUACUGUUUGAUAUGAAUACAUUUAUAUGUCACCCAAACGUUUGCACACAGCCAGCAUUUAAUUUAUCUCCCAGUUAAAAAAAAAAAAAAAAGGUUGUUCCAAAGGCAAUGUGUUUAGGCAAGUCUACUGUGUUUUCAAAGGAACUGCAAUGCCAAAACCUGGAGGUAAAAUGAACUGGUACGGUACUGUGACGAGACCAAUCUCGCCACUGUACAUUGGAGGAGCAGGGUUGCCUGCCUGCUCCCUUGUGACUAUGGACUGGCAGUUAAACAGUCUAUUUUACUGUGCAGAAAGUCUCAUUCGUGCCUUUCUGCACAGCCUUUGGGUAGAUUCUAUCUACCGAACAAACAGCCUUCUAUUAGCCUCCCCAGAGCCGUGGGGAGCCGGCAGGCGCUGUUAAUUGGCAGCCCAUAAGCUGGCGUGCGCCACCAAUCUACCUCCCUGAAGCCACGGUUAACCGCGGCUUAACAAGCGUGUGCAGUCAAUUGACCACCCAGUAGCUGCGGUUAACCGCAGCUUAAUUCACUGUUACUCGGUGGCCACGGUUACACUUAGCGGCCGCUAGGUGGCGGUGUUAUGGAGCUCCCCGGACGGCCAGCGGUGCUCAGCCCGGAAUCAGCACACCAAAAGCGGAUACUUUUACAUGCAGGCACCUCUGAGCCUCCAGCCUUCCCUGCUUCUAUUCGUGGCUAUUUAACCGAACACCUGAUCAUUCGGGACUUUGUUUAAGUGAAUGCUUUAACCCAGAUAGCACAGCUAUGGAGCCUAUUCGUGUAAUUAAAGACUUUGGCUCCAUGGCAAAUUGAAUUGUGUGUAUAGGAUCUGAGCGCUAUUCGGUACAAUUGUGCGCUCAGAUCCCAGCUAUCUGUGGAUGGGUUACAUGUAUAUAUUUUAGGUGAGAAAUGUAACAUUAUGUAUUUUAUUGUAUUUUAGUGUUUUAUUGUAACCACAUGUGUAAUGGCGAUUUGCCUCUGUCCUGGGAGAUAAUUGGAUUACUUCCCAGUUAUCUCCAGGAUAGAGGGGAGGGAAUUAGGAUGCAUUGUGGGGAUGUUUUACUUCUGUGUGUCUGUCAUUGGUGCAUGUCUGUCCCUUGUCACAGUCUCCCAUUUGGUCCCCUAGGGGCGUGUCCACCAGGUGGGAGACCUGCAUAAAUAUUGGGCAGGUAGCCCUGAAUAAACCAGACCACUGCUUGACCCCCAACAUGGAGCUCUGUCUCGUCUUUGGGGGGAUUUAUUGUAUGCUGUUAGAGACUCAUUGCCAGGAGUGUAAGUUGCUUGGGUGCUUUUCCUGUUCGUCUGCUAGCAGCUAUUCAUGAGGUUACAGUUCGGGAGUUUGGAGUACUAUUUUGUAUGCAGUUCGGGAGUUUGGAGCAUUACCUUGUAUUCAGUUCAGGAGUUUGGUGUUCCGCAGUAGCUGUGCCUGUGUCUCUGGAAGGGAAGAUAUACUAAAUGGCGGUUUAACCCUUUUAUGCUUGGGGGUGCCGUUACAGGUACCUUCUGUGAUAUCACCAUGGUAUGAGGCAUAUUGUUUAAUGUUACUGGAUAGUAUGACUUUUGGGGACACAGAACGCUUGUUCUUUAAGAUGGGCCUUGUGCAAGAUGUGAGGGAACAGAAGAUGCUGUGGCUGUGAAGGUACAGGGGAGUGUCAACAUUUGCACAAAUGUACAUGGAGAUAACUACUAAACCACUGUAGACCUUAUAAACACAUAUUAAAAAGUAUUUUUGAUGUGUACAACUCGCCAACUGUGUGUAUGGGUGUUAGGAGUGGCUUUAGGGGCUGAAAUCUGAGAAGAGGGUCUAAUCAGCCCAGAUCCCUUCUUGCAUUUCCAGUACAUUUACAGAAAUUCAUCUCCCAUUGUUACAUUCUCUCAAUGCAUCUCCAAUGUUUUUUCCCAUGUUUCACCAUACCAAAAUUAUUCAUCAAUAAAAGUCAUAUUUGUCCAAUUCAUCUUCACCAAUCAUAUUCCUCCAAUCCACAUACUCCAGUUUAUAACCCGACAAUUUAUAUCUUCCAGCUGUAUCCUUAUAUAUCACAAUAUCAAGCCCAAUAAAUUUCUUUAGGUAUAUACAUCCAGUUCCCCUUUUUCCCCCCUUAUUCAUCCCACAGAUCAGUUCCUCCAACCAUCCUCCCAGUUUAACCUCCCAAAGAAAUGUUCUUGACGCGGUUCUGUCAUCCCAUGAAUCCCUUGGCUGAAAACUGUGGGAUCCGUGCAUCUGUGCCCUGUGGUGAUCCCUCAUUUUUGGACCAUGGGAUCGGCUUUGCUUAUAAUUAUAUAUGAAUUUUCAUUUUUAUUUCUGGACACUACCAUCUUCAGUUUUAUAAAAUGACUGCACCCAGAAAUUUGAUUGGCAUGCUCGUCAAAUGCCCAGUUCACCAAAAACAUUAUCAGGAUGAUUGAACUGCCUUUUAUAAUUUUUUUUCUAGAGUGAUUAAGGAAUCUAGUGAUUCUACAACAUGGUAAAUUGUUUUCCAACAACAUACCCAUCCAAAUAUUCUUUAUAAAAGAUGUUUAUGAUAAUUAAAAGUUAAUGUUAUAAAGCCAUGUAUAGUAAAAGUUAAAUUAAUGUAUGUCCCCCCUUAAAGGGUAACAAGAAUCCCUUUUAAGGUCCUAAUUCUAUAACUUGUCUUAGACCUUUUUUGGAUUUGAUUUUAUUCUUUGCCCAUAGCUAGCUGAGCUUGUCAAAUCACGUGCAUGCCCAGUUUACCAAACACAAUAUCAGUAACAUUAUGGGCUGACUGAGUGUAUGAAGACAGGAUAUGAUUUGGUGCUGGAGGGAGGUGAAUGCUAACAGAGCCAUUGGCUAAAAUGACAAAGGCAGUGGUGCUUGACUAAAGCACCACCCUUUUUCAACUUUUGUCAACCGUCUAGUUAUACAUAAGGAAAAAUAGUCCCGACUAUGUAUUAUGCAUUACAUUAAAAUUAAGCAAAACAAUUUUAAAAAAAGUAGGGCGGGACUAAAGAUAAAGUUAGUCACUAUCAUGUUCAUACCAUUUUUUUUUAUACAUUUGGGUAAGAUUUUAUAAAUAAAAUAUUAAUUUGCAAAAAAUAAAAACACAUUUUUUUUGGGGCAUGUUUUAUUCGAUUUAUCUACAAUUAUUGAGCUGAUUUAUUAUCCAUUAUGAUAGAACCAUCUGUCUGUGAACUACUUCUAUUCCCCUUGGUUUCGUCUGUUUGUUCGGUUAAUUGCCUGUCCGUACCGCCCGUUUGUUUAUUUCCUAAACUCACGAAUAAACUGCCGAACGGCCGGCCACCCAACUUGGAAGUGUGCUGCUGGUUAACCUCUUGGCUUCAUUAGAACGUUGUGGUUAACCACAGACACCUCCUAAUUAUCAACGGUAUGCCGGGUGGUCGUCAUUCGUAUGCCAUCGGCUGCCAUCUUGGACGCACGAAUGAUCAGCGGUGUUCAUCGAUGAUUUCCUGGAACUGAAAACGGACACUAUUUCUCCCGAACACCGCUGAAACCGCUGACCUCCCUUCUCUGCCUUCCAGCAUACGAACGCCGGUCCGUUCAGUACUUCUCUGCACAAAAUGACUUACCCCAGAUAGCCAUCCCAAGGAGCCCGUUCAUAUACCGAAAGACAAUGUGAAAUACUUUGGCUCCACAGCAAUUGAACUGAGUGUAUAGGAUCAGAGCGCCAUUCAGUAAUAAAGUGCGCUCAGAUCUAAGCUAUCUGGGGAUAUGUUAAAUGUGGUUAUUCUAUUUGUGUAAUUCGGAGUUAUGUAUCUUUAUGUAUUUUUAUUAUUCUGUACAAAAUGGAGUUUAGCCUCUAUCCGUGGAGAUAAUUGGAUUACUGCCCAAUUAUCUCCAGGAUAGAGAGGAGGGUUGUUCUCAGCUAAAGGGGAGUGUUUAUGCUUGGGCCACUGUGAUUGGCUACUGUAUCCAUAUUGUCCCAGUCUUCCAUCUGGUCCCCUAGGGGAGUGUCCACCAGGUGGGAGACCUGCAUAAAUACCGGUCAGGUAGCCCUCAAUAAAUCAGAUCUCUGCUUAACCCUCAAUAUGAAGCUUGGUCUCGUACUUAGGGUAUUGGAUUUGUAUGGUUUACUCGUUCGGCUAUUUGAUACGUGAAGGAUUUUGUAUGGUUCCUGUUCAGCUGAUUGGAGCUUUCGUUAGCUGUCUCUGCAUUCGGAAGGUGAACGUCCUCAGCGGUAUUUACCCCUUUUAUACCUGGGUGUACCGUUACACCCAUAUUAUGCAUUAAGAAAUGAGGGUCGACUUCAGUUAGUAGUGUUUGACUUUGUUUGUGUUUAGAGUUUUCAUUAUACAAAGGGAUCUAAGGGAUCUAUUGUUUGAGAGACAAAAUUUUUCCUUUUUUACAUCCACUGGUGGUGGCAGAAUGCUUAAAAUGUCUAACCUGGGCAUUCACUUCAAUAUUUGAGCUACAACUAUAGUAUAGUUUAAAGGCCAAGAAAUAUAAUAUCUUACAUGGCCAGGUGUACUAUAUUAUGCUCCUUCAUGGUGUUGCCAUAUUCCAUGAGGAUGAUACUCACAUAUACAAUGCAAUAUGCAUUUGAGAGUGAUUUUGUGAACAUCCAGAGGAAGUCAAGCACAUUUCAUGGCCUCCUUAAUCAUCAAAUUUAAAUAUCACUGAACUUUAGCAUGGAAUGUGAAGUAGAUUACUAAAUCCUUCAGCUCUCGAAGGAUUGAAUGUCUUAAUAUCUUGAAGUACGGUGUAAUAUCUGAACAUUUCAAGACUUGUAUGACAACAUUCCAAGAAGAACCGAACCUGUACUAGAAAAUGUAUUCCUUAUUUGGUCUUUGAAAUUAUCAAAUUUUUAGGUGUUGUCCAUAGUUCACGUUUGCAAAUCAAUGGUCACUUCCAGAUAGUUGUGGGUUUAGUGAACAACAAUGACAGUGAAUAGAACUGGCAUAAAAAUUGCAAAGGAAAUGGUACAGUGAAUCUUGAUGUAAUGAAAAUGGAAUAUGAUGCAAAUUAUAGUAAGGUUAUUCACAAUGGUGCACAUUGUUAAGAAUUCUAAAUUAAUUCAAAGUUAAUUUUAUAUUUUAGUCACAAUAGCCAAACUCACAUUACGUAUUAUGGAACUGUUUGGACACCAUAACAAUUUCAUCAAUAUAAAGUUGUUAUGGUGCCCAGAGGUCCCUGGUUCUUUCUUACCAGAAGGGGCUAAACUGUUCUCUUAAUCUAAAAGGUUGCUCUCUAGUGCUUGAUCUCCUUUUUCCCAGAGGCAUCCGGCUUCUUCAAGUGACUUUCAGGAAGCACGGUGUCAGACAGGGGCGCUGCUGAUUGACUAGAGUGGUCAGCUGACGAUCUAAAUCAAUCAGUAGCACCCCAUUCAUAAAAAAUUUACUUAUCUUUUUUAUGAAUGGGGAACUACUGAUUUGCUUAGAGUGUCCGUGACAUUGAGCAUAUGCAUGAUAUAUAAGUUAAGUUUAAUCAGCUACAAGCUAACUUGUUGGAACAAGCAGUGUAUUUUAUUUUUUUUUACUAAAAUUAACUAUCAAUUCCCAGGGUUUUCAAUACAAUGUCUACUUAUCCCUAUAUUUAACAAAUAUGUAUUAGUUAUAUGCAAAAAAUAAUAUCAAAUGUAGAAAUUCACAUAUUUUCUCUUGUAACAGGGUGCCUUCAUCUUAUCCUGUUGCCUAUCAUUAUUACAAGCGCUGUCCUUUGCACCUAAAAAAAAUACAAACAAUGUUUUUAUUUCUCCUCUUCAUCUGCAAUGUUGCCCUUUGCCUUGUCUGAACUGGACCCAGAGAAAAUCAAGAUGCAAACAUUUCCUGUUCUGCUUCUGACACCUCCCUCUGCAGCUUCAAGCAGAGUAAAGUAAUCCACAAAAAUAGAAAAAAUGAGGGCAGAUCAAACAAUUUCAAAUGUUCAUACCAAGGGCUACAAAAAGAUUUAUUUACAAGACAUAAAGUACAAACGUUUCGGGUAGUCCCCUUUAUUUUUUUUAAAGGACAUGCAUUGAUACAUUUGCAAUUGAUUGCGCUGCCCUAAUUUUUUCUAUUAUUGUGGAUAAUUAAAUCAGUUGCUAAAUAUUUUAUAUAAAUAAAAGAAAACAGAGCAUCUUAGGAGAAAAAAGUUAUCUUUUUUUUUUUAUUAGGGAAUUUACAUUUUUUAUUCAAAGGUGUACUUUUAACACAUAAAUAUAAAUAUAUAUCUAUGAAAUGUGCUUAACAUUUUAGUGGUAUUUUUUCCUUGAGUGAAGCUUCCUGAGCACUUGUGCUCCACCCUCUGGCUGCUUGUUCAACAUAUAGCUACAAGCAUUUUUAUAAGAGAUUCUAAGGACUCUGGUGAGAUCCAAAAACGUAUUUUCUUUCCGAAACAUUGCACAGUUGCUAUAUUUCCAUAUUUUACUGCCUGCUUAAAUUAUAUGAAUUUGUUCCCGUAAUAAAGAAUAAGGACAUUAUGUUCACUGUUUAUAAUCAAUAACUACCUAUAUAAUGGCAUUUAAGGUUGUUAGACAUAAAUAAUUUUCCACCUGACAGACAGUUGUUAUUACACAACUCAUAAAGUAUUUAGUUAUCCAAUAUACAGUUAUCUCCUUCUGCAGACAAGUGAUGCAGAGUGAAAUAUUGUGACAACUUUAUAGCCCAGCUCCCUGAAAACCUGGUUCAACUUGGUUUGCAGGAACCUCCUCAAUUCGAUAUUCAGUUUCUGGCAAACACCCAUAGACUCCCAAGAAUUCAGGACCAACACCCAGAGAAACAUAUUGUUCUCAGGAUGUGGUUAUUAUGUACUAAUAUGGCAAUUAACGAUUACUUUAUCAUUCUACUAAAAAUACUUUGGGUUAUUUAACUCAAUAAAUUUUUUCUUGGUGAGUUACCAAUAUAAGCAUAUUUGAGUGUUACAUAAAUAUAUCUAUUAGUGGGCGGGGACCCGCCACUUAUCUAUUACUUGGACCAAGAAAGAAAACCAGUUACAGGUUAAUUCACUCAACACUAAGUUGUAGUGAAAUGAAAACUAAAUUGUAAAAUACAGGUAAAAAUUCACAUCUGUGACAGUAAUUGACACAAUCCACUACAAUUUGGAAUUUAGUGAAUAACCCUGAAUUUUUUUAAUGUGAUCUUGAGUCAUUAGGGGAGAAUGGCCGAAAGAAGAAUGUUUAGGGCCUUUCUGAAGAUCAAAACUGAUUUCUUUGGUCAAGGCAUUCAUAAUUUCCACUGUAUACAAUGUGGCACUAUCCAGCUUGGAGAUAAACCUUGUGCACAGUACUACUACCAUCUGUUUUUUGUUGUGCCAAGACUUUCUGUAACUGUUGUAUUGUGUAUUUUCAAAUCCUGUAGGUACUGCCAUACGGUCGGUGCAAGGAGUUUUGUGGAACAGAGGCGAAGAUACAUUUUACGCCCCAUCCCCCCCAGAAAAGCAUCUUCACCUGUGUCGACCCCCUUUUGUGUUUCUUAUCCCUCUUUUAAAUUUCUUACCCUCUUUAGUGUAUCUUAUUCCCUAUUUUUCCCCAUUGUGUGUCUUACACCCCCAUUUGUGUAUCUCUUACAACCCACCUUGUGUUAUUAUUUUUUUAAUAUAUACUUUGAAAAAUAUUUUAAUAUUUUGGUGUUUUUUUUCAAUAAAAAAUUUUGUAUACAGUAUGUAUUUUUUUUAAUUCGUUUUUGUUUGCAUACAAAGAGUAUGGACUUUAGGAAGAUGAUAUCAGAGCAUAGUACAACAUGUUAACAAUUUUGCAUAGAUUACAAUAGAUCUGAAUCAUUUAUACAGAAGCAUUCUUAACCUGGACAUAUCAAUAGCAUCAAACAAUUUGUUCUACGAUUUUCUUCUGGUUUCAGCAUGUAGACUAGAAGAAACAACAUUGACUAGGAUUCAGUAACAUUCCAGUGGCAGCAAAAUAAUAAAACCUUUAAGUUGGAGCUAAGAGUUAUGUAGAAGUGGAUGCCAUGGUUCCCAGAUCUGAGUGAACUUCGUGUAUCAUUUGUGGAUUGAAAAUGUGAUCUCUUCCAUUCGUUUUAUGUAUUCUACUUUGUGUAUCCACUGCCUAAUAGUGGGAACGUUCGCUUGUUUCCAUAGGGCCGGGAUAAACAUGUUCACUGCUGUGAGUAAGUGAGUUACCAUAUUGGAUGUUGGUGUCUUAAUGUUUGGUAAUGGUGCUAGGAACAAAAUAUAUUCCGUGAAGAAUGGGAUAUUGGAGGACGUUAUUGUUUGGAUUAGUGUGUGUAUACGUUUCCAGAAUUUUUUAAUCUCUGGGCAGUGCCACCAUAUAUCUGUUGUGUGUGCAUUGGCUUGGUGACAUCACCAGCACUCAUCUAAUGCAGUGCCAUGGAUUUUGAAGAUUUUUGCGGGUGUCUAGUGCCAGCGCACAAUGUGUUUAUAAUUGCUUUCUUGGGUGCCCAGGUUAGUGGAUGAUAUGCGCCCUCAUGAGUACUGCUUUCCACUGAUUUGGUGUGACGGACACCAGUUACUCCUCCAUCCACCUCGCAGCGAAAUGUGGAAGGGUCUAUGUAUCAGCCUCCACCAGGGUUUAGUACACGGUUGAUAAGAAUUUAUUUUUUAACGGGUGUUGUUGGCACAGCAUUUCAAAUUUUGUGGGGUCCCUAUUACUGUUAGGGAGGAGGUUUGCACUGUGUAUGAAGUGGGACAGUUGUGCGUAAUGUAGAUGUUGAUUGCCUGUAACGGCCUGACUUGGCAACAAGUGACAAAGUGUUUUCAUUCCAGUCUCAUGGACUACUGCUUGGAGCGUGAGUACUGGUGUGUCAUGAUAUUGGCGAUAUUGAGUACCCGUCCACCCCUCCUGAAAUAGAGAAUUGUGAGUGGAUACAUAGAUGAGGGGUGGAGACAAACCUUUGCCUGGUUGUAUCCCAUAUUCUGAGUGUGGCCGAGAUAGUCGGGUGUUGUUUUGAGCAGACAUACACGUGGCUUGACUUGUGCCAAGGUAUUGUAUGUAUGGGAACCUAGAGGAAGGUAGCUUCAAUUUGAACCCACUGCGUGGUUGUGUUGGUGUUUGUCCAUUCAUAUAUCCUGGCUAGAUGAAUGGCUAUGUGAUAGUGUUUCAGACUUGGGAGACGUAUUCCUCCCUCUGAGCGUAGUUUUGUGAGAAGUGAGUAAGCAAAUGUUGGGUGAAGAUGUGACCAUAAGAAUGUGGUAAGAAGUUUCCGAAUUGUAAUAAAGAAUAUUUUAGGGAGUAUUAUGGGGAUCGUUUGCAACAAGUGCAAUAUGAGCGGAAGGAUGUUAAUUUUGAUAAUGUUGAAUCUGCAAAACCAGCAAAAUUGUGGUUUGUUCCAUGUUUUGAGGUCUUUAGUUAUGGCCGCUAGUAAUGGAGGGAAAUUAGAGUUGUAUUGGCGAUUCAGUUUCAGAGGGAGGUGUAUCCCUAGGUAUUUAAUGUCUGUGGCAGCAUAUGAGAACUGAAAGCACUGUUUUAGUGACCUGUCCAUGUCUGUGGAAGUGUUGAGUGGCAUCAGUUCGCAUUUCGAUAGGUUGACCUUAAAAUUAGAUGUCCCCUGAUAUAGCUCUAUUUCCGACAUAAUGUGUGGGAGAUUAUAAAAGGGGUCUGAGAGUGUAAAUAAGAUAUCGUCUGCAAACACAGCCACUUUAUAUUCCUCUCCAUUAAGUAUGAAACCAUGGAUAUGUGGUCCUCAUAUCCCUUGGAGGAAAGGUUCAAGCACAAGUAUAAAUAUAAGAGGGGAUGGGGGUACCCCUGUCUCAUGCCAUUUGUAAUUGUUACUGGAUUAGACAGUUGUCCAUUAAUUCUUAGUUGUGCUGUCGGUAUAGAGUAUACGGCUUGUAGCCAACUAGUGCAAUUUAGGCCAAAACCCAUGUAUUGUAGUGUUGCCAACAUCAGGGACCAGUCCACCCGAUCUAAGGCCUUUUCGGCAUUGAUCGUGAGCAAGGCAGUCGCUUCCUUGGAUCUGCUCACCCAAUGCAUAAAGUUUAUGAUUUUGGUGGUGUUAUUUUUGGCUUCUUUCCCUGGCACAAAGCCCGACUGGUACGGGUGAAUCGAUCCCGGUAAUAGUGACUUUAAUCUGGUGGCAAGGAUUUUUGUAAACAUUUUUAAAACAAUGUUUGUUAAUGAAAUGGGCCUAUAGCUAUGACAGUUGGUGGGAUCUUUGCCUGGUUUCGGGAGUAAACCUAUGGAAGCUUCCAAUAACGACUUGGGUAAAUAGGGGGACCUUAGCAGAUGGUUGAAUUCUGUCAUGAAUGGUUGUAUCAGAACCUCUGACAAGACCCUAUAGUAUUUGCCCAUGAAACCAUCUGGGCUUGGGCUUUUUCCUAAGGGUAGGUGUUUGAUUGCCUGGCGUACCUCGCUUUCUAGGGAGGAAGGGGAGAACGUAACAAAAUAUGGGAAAGGAAAGGGUUCGUACUCUGAGCAAGGAUUAUCACAUAAUGUAUACGACUGUCCCGGUGUACGUAGGUCGUUGACUAGGCUUGGAUCAGAGUUCAAGUGUAUGAGCUAGGGGUCUUCUCUGUGCCCUGGCCUCUUCACUCCACUUCGGGUAACCAGAAAAUUGUAAUCCGUUAGGGAAGAGCAGUGUCAUCAGGUAGCUCCAUAAAGCCCAACAACCAGCCAUCCCAUGCUCCGCGAUGCUGGAAAUACUCCCAUCCGGUUCAGUGAGCCUAUAAGCAUAGCAUUCCGAUCCGGUGAUCCCCAUAGUUGUCGGUGUGUGUAGUAACCUAAAUAGCAUCCUUGUGGCUGGCCACAUUGUGGGGUUGUAGGAUUUAGGCCUGCCUUCCACGUUUUCGCUGGUGUGUUCCACCACUGCCUCUGAGGGAGCCUUGAUGUGUCCGGAACAGGUUGCGGUGUGUACCAAUCCAUAACCUGUGUAUCAGGUAAAUCCAAUGCCUGUAGAAAAGGUGCUACAUCUUGUUGCAUUGAGAUGGAAUGAGUAAUGCCUUUGUUGGUGACAAUAAGCGCAAAGGAAAAACCCCACCUGUAUUUCACCUUGUGUCUCUUAUCCCCCUCUUUAUAUGACUCUUACAUCGCCCCACAUUUUGUGUGUCUUACUCCCCCCUGCCCCUUUGUGUGUCUCCUUCUCUCCCAGCGCCUUUGUGUCUUUUACUCUUCCUAGCUCCUUUGUGUGUGUUUUUUUCACCCGUAGCCAAACUGUUCUCCCAGCCCCUCUCUGUGUCUCUUUCCCAUCCAGCCCCUCUGUGUGUCUUCUCCAGGUCCUCUAUCUUUUUCACCCCCAGCUGCUAUGUGUAUUCCUCACCAGGCCAUUCUGUGUGUUUAUUUCAUUCCCAACCCACCUGUGUGUUCCCUCCCCCCCAUGUCCCUCUGUGUUCCUUUCUUCACACUCAGUCCCCUCUGUGUGCUUCUUUCUCCCCUACCAGCCCCUUUGUAUGUCUCUUUCACCCCUUCCUCCAUUUCUUUGUAAUCUCUUCCACUCCACCCUUGUCCUUGUCCUAGUGGUCUCCCAUCCCUGUCCCUUAGUAGUCUCCUCUCCCCUCCCCUCCCUGUCCUUUAGUGGUCUCCUCUCCCCCUGUCCCUUAGUGGUCUCUUCUCUAUGUCCCUUAGUGGUCUUUCCUCCCCCCUCUUCCUUAGUAGUAUCCCCCCCUCCUUGUCCCUUAGGUGUCACCUCUCCUUGUCCCUUAGUGGUCUCCUCUUCUUGUCCCUUAGUGGUCUCCCCUCCCUGUCCCUUAGUGGUUUCCCAUCCCCUCCCUGUUCAUUAGUGGUCUUCCUCUCCCCCCCCUUUGUGGUUUCCUCUCCCCUCCCUUCCCUGUCCCUAGGUGGUCCUCCCCCCCUCAGUGUUUCUCUCCCCUCCCUGUUGUAUAGUGGUUCUCUCCCUUACCCUCCCUGCCCCUUAGUGUUCCUCUCCCCUUCCUUCGCUUUCCCUUAGUGGUCCUCUCCCUUCCCUAUCCUGUCCCAUAGUGGUGCUCUACCCUCCCCUCCCCUUCCUGUCCCUUAGUGUUUUUCUCUCCUCCCCUCUAUGUCCCUUAGUGUUCCUCUCCCCUUCCUGUCCCUUAGUGUUCCUCUCCACCACUUUAGUUGUCCUCUCCCCUCCCUUACCUGUCCCUUAGUGUUUCUCUCACCCCCCUUAGUGUUCCUCUGCCCUCCCUUCCCUUGGUGGUUCUCUCCCCUCUCUUGUGUGUCUAAUACUUCUCUUUGUAGCAUGGCCGCGUGGUACAGGAGCUUCUGCUCUCUCAGUGUCCACUUCCUGUCAGACCGGGCAGGUAUAGGAAACAGAAGAUCCUGUACCGCGGUCCACUCUGCUCUGCCACGCUACAUUGAAUGACUGGUAGGAGGGAGCACUGUGCACUUCCUUCCUGCUGGUCACUCGAAUCUUGCACCCCCGAGAGUCGGUGUGCCCUAAGGCAGCCACUUGUACGCACCGUCCCUGCAUACAUACAAUACAUAUAACAUCAUACAUACAGGGAUUCUAGGAUAGAAUAUUGCAUCAUCACAGGUGGUCAAAAUACAUGGAUCAGAUUAAUUACAGGCAGAUUGGAAUUCUGUCUGUCUGUCUUCCUAAUCUACCAUGUUUAGAGUGUAAGCUCGUUUGAGCAGGGUCCUCUUCAAACUAUCAUUCCUGUAAGUUUUCUUGUAAUAUUCCUAUUUAUAGUUAAAUCCCCCCUCUCAUAAUAUUGUAAAGCGCUCCGAAAUCUGUUGGCGCUAUAUAAAUGGCGAUAAUAGUAAUAAAUAAGACUGAUUCCAUUCACCAAAUAUUACAUCUUGAUUUUCAUCAAGAACAAAACCAAAACCAAAACCUUGCCAUUACUUUGCUUCACUGAUUUCUAGACUUGAGAACAUUGCACAUCAAAAUCUCAAACAGAACAAAGCUCUAAAAACCUUAUUUCACCUUUUGCAUUAUUCAGGUACAAGUUAUAGGUUUAAAUAUUUACACAUUGUGAUAUAACGAUGAACCACACACGUCACUUGGAAGACAAUCCUUCCUGUUUCUGUUCAUAAUAGGUGUGUAGGAAUGUGGCAGUGGUUCCAAAGUUCAACAUUCUUCACCAAGGAUUGCAGCCGUAUACAAUGUAGUCAUACAUUAUCUAAUACACUUUAUUUGUAUGCAUUUAAAAAGGAUCAGAGAACAGGAAAUGCUUGUUCGGUGUUUGCCAAUAUGAGCAAAAUGUCCAUUGCUCCAGUAUUAUGCUACUUCAUUGGUGGAUGAAUUAAAAAGUGAACUAGUAUACUGCUACUACUGCUGUCCCAAUGUAUGUCAGGCUGUCAAUAUCAGAUCACCAAUAAGAGUUGUAAUUUUAUCAGUGUUAGCUGCUGUGAAAUCAGCACACUCUACUAACUUCUGUACGUUUGGGUGUUAAAACAGUUCUAUCCAUGGCAAUGCGAGCUUCAUCCAGUAUACAACUUUGCUGUUAUUUUGUUAUUAUUUAAAUUCAGUUUUAUUAUUGGUAUUUAUUAGUGGAUUUGGGGCAUUGAUGCUGUCGUUUUUCCUGGUGAUAUACAACAUUGCCAUUUGUGAAAAAUGUAAAUUUUUAUAUUUGAUAGAGAUUAUGCCUUUCAUGACUGACAGCCACUAGACUCAUGAAAGUUUUCAAAAAUGUAGUCUUCACGUUCAACAGGUUCAACGUUGGAUUCAAAAUGUCUUUAAUGCCUUAACCCCGGUGCGGCAUUCUAUAUUGUCCUAAUUUUAAUGAGCUUUAAAGCCAUUGCAGCGGCAUAGAAAGUUGUAACUGCUUUCAGCCCCAGAACCCCUCCGGCUGGUCUGGCCCUCCCAGGCCAUGUGAUCGCUCUCAUAGAUAUAUAUAUAUAUAUAUAUAUAUAUAUAUAUAUUUGUGCUCGGAAUUUAUCUAAUAUGUAAUGGGAUGUAGAAAGAGAAGCAAAGUUGGUUGAGGUGUGCUGAAACCAACGUACGAGUAGGCCUGUAAAAGAGGACCCACAAAGGUGAAUUGUUAAUAUAGAUGGGUGUAGGUGGUUGGGGACAAACAGUUUGCACGACAAAGGUAAGUAGGGGGAGGGGUAGGGUUUAUAUAGGAUAUAGGAUCAUAACUCCUCCCACAAAUUCAGGCCAAAUGGCCUUCCAACUUGUGCUCAGAGUUUAUCUAAUAUGUAAUGGGAUGUAGAAGGAGAAAGCAAAGUUGGUUGAGGUGUGCCGAAACCAACGUACAAGUAGGCCUGUAAAAGAGGGCAAAAGAGGAUUCAAAGAAAACACACUUUAUGCAAGUUUAAACAGCGUGGGUACUGAAAGCUUGUGAGGAGCUUUUACUCUGAUUGAGGUAUAUAUGUAACUGCGCUGAGGAUUGCCCGUGGCCCCGACAGUGAUGUAGACUGGGGUGUAAGAGCUUGAAGCUGCUGAUGCAGCGCUUUGUAACAGAGAGGCCGGUGAAGGAAGCCAUGAUGUAGCUCCACAUUAAUGGAAGGUCAGACGUGAAGUCAGUGGCGUACAUACCAUGGUCGCAGGGAUUGCAGCUGCGACCAGGCCCGGCCCACCAGGGGGCCCGGUCGCCCUGCGACCCGGUGUGUAUGCCACUGUGUCCCCAAGGCUGGCCCUGAUAUCACCGGGCGGGCAGGCAGGCAGUCUGGCGGGCGCACGAGGGAGCACUCUCCCCUGAGUGCUUCCUCACGUGCCUGCCUGCCGGCCUGCCCGCCUGGUGGUACCACUAGACCCCAGGGAAUCCCCUCAGCUCUCCAAAAGGUAAGGAGGCUGGGGGAUUAAAUAAAAAAAAAACGUGAGUGUGUUAGUGUGUGUUAGUGUGUAUGUUAGUGUGUGUAUUAGAGUGUGUGUGUGUGUUAGUGUGUGUGUGUUAAUGUUGGUGUGUGUGUGUGUUAGUGAGUGUGCUAGUGUGUGUGUUAGUGUUAGAGUGUGUGUGUUAGUGUGUGUGUUAGUGUUAGAAUGUGUGUGUUAGAAUGUGUGUGUUAGAAUGUGUGUGUUAGUGUGUGUUAGAAUGUGUGUGUUAGUAUGUGUGUGUUAGUAUGUGUGUGUUAGUGUGUGUGUGUUAGUGUGUGUGUGUUAGAAUGUGUGUGUUAGUGUGUGUUAGAAUGUGUGUGUUAGAAUGUGUGUGUUAGAGUGUGUGUGUUAGUGUGUGUGUGUUAGUGUGUGUGUGUGUUAGUGUUAGAGUGUGUGUUAGAGUGUGUCAGUGAGUGUGUUACUGUGUGUGUCUGUUACUGAGUGUGUUAGUUUGUGUGCGUCUGUUAGUGAGUGUGUGUUUUGUAAGUGAGUGUGUAUGUGUCUGUCUGUCAGUGAGUGUGUAUGUAUGUCUGUCACUGAGUGUGUGUCUGUCAGUAAAUGUGUGUGUCUGUUAGCUAGUAUGUAUGCGUCUGUUUGUGAGAGUGUGUGUGUGUGUCUGUUAGCUAGUGUGUAUGCGUCUGUGUUCUUAAGCACUUACCUUUCUCCAACACCGGACUUCCUUGGUGCUGAGGAUCUCUCUGCCCCGAUCCGCCUCUCAGCUCUGAAUGCGCAUGCGUGGCAAGAGCCACGCGCGCAUUCAAACCGCCCAUAGGAAAGCAUUACUCAAUGCUUUCCUAUGGACGUUCACUGUCUUCUCACUGUAAUUUUCACAGUGAGAAUCGCGGAAGCUUCUCUAGCGGCUGUCAAUGAGACAGCCACUAGAGGCUGGAUUAACCCUCAGUGAAACAUAGCAGUUUCUCAGAAACUGCUAUGUUUUCAGCUGCAGGGUUAAAACUAGAGGGACCUGGCACGCAGACCACUUAAUUGAGCUGAUGUGAUCUGGGUGUCUGUAGUGGUCCUUUAAGUGUAUGUGUAUCUGCAUGCACUGGUGUACAUACCGUGGUCGCAGGGGUCGCAACCCUGCGACCCCUUCGUCCAGGUUCCUGACGCCAUGUGUUGCGGUCCCAGCCCGCGCAGAGUAAGCGCGCGGGGGGGGGCGGGCACGGAUCAAUUUUCGCACCGGGGCCCCAUGGGUUGUGUGUACACCACUGCGUGAAGUAGUGGCUUAGGACUGAUAGUGUGUGAUUGACCUUGGAGAUGUAAAGUGGAGUGACAGCAUAGGAGAUUUAAGUAAGAUGCUUGAUUUGUAGGUUUGGAGAAAAAGGCAAAAAAUAACCAUAUUUAACUGCAAAAGUCUUGAUUCAAGCAAACUCUAAUUGUGACAUGUACAAUAUACAAGGCCCUGGCGUGAGUGAUAGGGUAGUCCUGAAACUGCGUGAACGAGCGCACCAGUACGUGGUGUAAUUGUCUGCUUAGUCCAAGAUUAGCUCAUGGAAUGGUGGUAUCUCGGAUGAUAUGUAGUGUAUGAUAGGGAGUGCCUGAAAGAAGACCUUAAAAUGAGAGCGUGCAAGAGUGUCAGCGGCUGUGUAGUGGACACCAGCAAUGUAAAUGUAGACCAGAAAGAGCUGAGGGGUUGCUGUCUGCCAAAUCAGCCUGUGAAUCAGCCACAGUGGCGGUGAGUAUGACCGCCCUUGCUAAUGAAAUCGCAGGCUGCGGAGUCGUCAGAGCAGCAUUCCACUGCCUUGCCGGUCCAAAGAUGACUCAGAGUGAGGGAGGCCACCACGAAAGGGUAGAUCUCCAACAAAGUAGAGGUCUCUCCAAAGGCCGGCAAGGCAUCCGACUCAGUGGGCCAGGCGUCCCUAACGAGUGGUUGCCGAAAAAAGGCUGUGAACCCUGUGUGUGCUGCUGCGUCUGUGUGAAUUGAAAGUGAGUGUUUUGAAAGUGGGGGAAUGACCGAAGAGAUCCCAAUCCAUUCGGUCGUAAAACUACUCCAAUUGUGUAAAACCGCCCUGGCUGAAUCACCCGAAUGAUUGAGCAGGGGUUGGUACCUUGUGGAGCAAAUUUAAGUAGCCCAGGGACAAGAGACUAACCCUGCGGAAUGAUAUGCACAACAAAGUUGAGCGGCCUAAACCAGGACUGAAGCCCCCUCCUAUUGUGCGCAACACUCCGCAGGAGCAGGACAAAUCCAUUCCUAAUGCGGAACAGAACGUCUGGGAGGCUGGCUUGGAAAGUAGUGGAGUCCAAUACUAUGCCUCAGAAAGCAAGCCUGACCCUGACAGAGGGACCGACUGAAAAGGGGGGGUCUGUAGUGGUGUGAAUACUGUUAGGUGUUUGUGAACCCGUGAAAUCAACAAAAAUGUAUCCAGAACGUGGAUGACUGAUGGACACCUUAAUAUAUUUAGGAGCAGCCAGCAGAGGGUUUCUGCAGAGGGCGGUGCAAAGAGGUCUAUGAUCAAACGUAUUUGGGUACUGUGAAUGGCUACCCCGAUGGGAGUGGUACACCAAGAUGAGAAAAUGUGAAGACCGGAAAGGGCCGAUCGUAAAACCAGCAUAUGAUUGCUGUGGACAGAAGGUGGUCCACUGUAAGUGGGUCAAUAGAUGUAGAUAAUAGGUUAGGGCAUACAAGUGUACCCGUGGGGUUGGCGCCAAGGCCCGUGUGAGACCUUUGUGAGAAACCCGGCAUCAGAAUCUACCAUAUGCCCAGCUGGGUGUAAAUGCAGAUAGUAUACCAGGAUGUCAAUGUUGACCUAGUUAGGCGUAUCUUGGGUGACAGACAGGCUGUAUAUGUGGACUAGGUGUGAGUUCUGGAGCAGAUGAAGCGGAUGUGUGAUACCCUGUAUGUAGUGAAAAUAGCAUACCCCAGCAUUAAAGUCAUAGCUUGCCCGCGCUUUGCGUGGAAAUUAAUGGUCAGCCCCGCUUGUCCUUCUGCCCGCCUCCCAGUCUAGUGCGUGGGAUGAAGGAGUGGUAAGAGGGACUAAACAGUUAAAUUUGUGACAGACCCAAGAAGCCUGGAUAUGUUAAAAGCAUAGUGAUAGGUACCGGGUUCUUGAGUGUGUGCCGAGAGAGGGAAAAGACAUGCGUGGGCCUAACGAGGUCAUGCGUAAUAUUAGGAAUGUAGUAUGAAAGGUUGUAUUCUUUAUCCCUCGUAUAUUAGAAAUUAGACGUAUGUAAUUGCCCAAAUGUAGGGUCGAAAUUGAUGUAAGUAACUGCCCAAAUGAGGGGCCAGAAUUGCCAUAGUGCCCGUAGUGGACUAUGUGUAAACGUAUGGAGUGAAGGCUUGGUGAGGGCCAUGUGUAGAGGUAUUGUAGUGGAAGGCAGAGUGCUUAAUGUUAGUCCUGAGCUGCUGGGUGGCGAAAUAGGGCUGUAUGAGGGGUAUGGAUGUAUAGAACGAACAAAGAAGGGAACAAACAAAGAAAGGGUGAGAGAUUCCUUCGGAGACCCAGGCCUGACUGGUGUGCUGGGUAUUUCGUCCAACAGUAGACCGAUUAUUGGGAUGGAUUCUUGUGACAUUCUGAAAAGAAAUAAUGAUUUGGAUAAGUAAGGUGUCGUAGAGGUGGGGAUGAGACCUCCGGAGAACUGGCCUGCUAGCUAGUGCCGAGGCGAAGAAUUAACCUAGGACCAAGUGACAGGUGAGGCCCUGCUAUUUCCAAGUGACGGUGAGAGGCUCUACCUAUGAUUUGGGCCGAGGGGGUUUUGUGGCCACCAGAACGAGGUGUCAGGAUGUUGGCCUCUCGGUGACAGUAAGAGAUUCAAAACGUGUGGCUGUGACUUGGGAAGCCCUAACUGUAGCCCAAAAAAGAGCGAGCAAGGUGGCAAGCUAUGAGUUGGUCGUGGGGCUGAACCUCUGUGUAUGAGGUGGGGGUGUAGACCUCGCGGACCGCAGUAUUAUUUGGGAAAGCUAGGGCCAGCGCCUAACCCUGAAAGGCAGUUCUCUAACCUGACGGGGCUUGUCUCUAGAAAGGAAGUAUGUAAAGUAUGUAAAUACUGACCUUGAGUGUUUGUCCUGAUUAUUUAGACACUGCUCAGGGCGACUUCAAUAUAUAUAUACUGCGAAGAACAGGUCCAGUCCAGGAACCUAGGGGUAAAAGGAUGCUAGCAGGCCUGAGGCGUGCCACUAGUAUGCCAAGUGUAAAAAUGUAGAACGUAUGGAAAGGAGUGUAACAGCGAAACUGUAGCGUAAGAACCAGUGUAAGCUGAGGGACCUGAACGUUGGUAUAAAUAUUUUGAGACAAGCCCCUGGAUUCCCACAAAUGUGCAUUACUUGUGAAAGAUACAAAGGCAAAGUGAGGCCUUAGAAGGAACGUAAUCGUAGUGAGUAAGAUUAAUGAUACCUGAUGCUGAAACGUCGGGGCCAGGUAGCCUGUUGGUUUGUUAAUGGCGUAGUGAAUCUGCGACAUGGUGCAGGUCUCAGUAAUGAUAUGCAGAAAUGAUAAACAAAUUUAACACAUUAAUAUAAUAGUAAAUGGAGGGUGAGGCAUCUUUAGACCUGGUGUGUUUGAAGUUAGAACCCACUGUGGGAGGUGGGAGUGGAUAGAAAAAAAGGAAGUGGAGGCUGAAUGAGGCCUCAGGAGAAACGUAAAAAUUUUUACCUUUUUCUACCUGAUACCGUGAGACGGGAUACUGGAACCACCUCCUGGAGUUUUCUUGAAGAAGAGUAGUAGAACCUACAACACGUUCAUUAUUUUAAAAUAAGGAACCAGAGUAUUGUGUUUUUAAUAUAAAUAGAGAUUUUAGAAAUAAGAGCUAAUGAACAAAUUGAGCGUGUAGCUGGAUAAAUUUAAGCGGUUUGAUGGGCUACCUAUUGACAUCAAAAAGACGUAAAGGGGCCAACUGUGUCUUUAAGAAAAUGCCCCUAGGAAUUUAUGCAUAAUUAAAUGUGACUAUAGGUUAUGAAUAGUGACACCAUAGGCGUGCGCACGGGGUGUGCCGGGUGUGCCUGGGCACACCCUAAUCCCCGUGGCACGCCUAUGGUUUGAGUCCUGCAGGAACAGCGUUCCUGCAGGCACUCAGUGCCCCCUGUUUCACCUCUUGCCCCUGUCAUGGGAGGGCAAGAGGUGAUGACAGGCGAACAUAGGUGAGUAUAAGCGGUCGAUAUUUAAUACUAACGAAAGAAAAAUGAACGAGUGUAUACUCUGCAGUCGGCUAAUAGCCGCUCAAAUGCAGAAGUACACGAACGGGUAAGUAAUAUAGGGAGCCUAUCCCCGCCUUUUUAGGCCCACGUUGAUGCUUAUGUGUGCGUGCCGAUCCCGUGACCGGAAGCAAGAAAGCCGGGUAACGAGUAAGGAAUACAGCGGGGCAGCUGGUAGACGAGCCCAGAUGUCAGCGGCAGGAGCUGCUGAAGACAGAGUGUUUGUUCGAGGCAGGACUGGCGGGAACAACGGCCGAAAAUGCAGGUAACUAUGGAGACAAACAGCUUGCACGACAAAGGUAAGUAGGGGGGAUAGGGUUUAUAUAGGAUAUAGGAUCAUAACUCCUCCCACAAAUUCAGGCCAAAUGGCCUUCCAGCAUAUAUAUAUGUAUGUAUGUAUUUAUGUAUAUAUGCAUGUAUCAAAAUACACUUAGAAUUUUUUACAUAUAUGUAUAUGUAUAUAUAUAUAUAUAUAUAUCAUAAUAAAAAAUACACAUAAUUACAUAAAUAAUAUUCAUAUAUGAAUAUUUGAUGUGAAAUGAAAGUGACAGUGGGGCUGGGAGGGUGACAGUAUGUGUGGGAGGGUGACAAUAUGGGAGGUGGUGAGUGUGGGGGGAUGUGACAGUGGGGUGGUGGUGACAGUGGGAUAGUGACAUUGGAGGAAAGGGGACAGUGGAGGAGGUGGUGACAGUGUAGGAAGUGUUGACAGGGGGUGGUGGUGACAGUUUGGGGGAUGGUGACAGUGGGGGGAUGGUGACAGUGGGGAAUGGUGACAGUGGGGGUAGUGGUUACAGUGUGGGUGUUGGUGACAGUGUGGUGGAUGGUGACAGUGUGGUGGAUGGUGACAGUGGGAGAAGGGGUGGCAGUGGGGGUAGUGGUGACUGUGGGGAUCGUGGUGACAGUGUGGGAAGUGGUGACAGUGGGGUAGAUGGUGACAGUGGGGGAGGUGGUGACAGUGGGGGGUGGUGACAGUGGUGGUGGUGACAGUGUGGGAAGUGGCAACAGUGUGGGUGUGGUGACAAUGGCUGGAUGGUGACAGUGUGUGAAGUUGUGACAGUGGGAGGGAUGGUGACAUUGGGGGAAAUGGUGACAGUGGGGGGAUGGUGACAGUGGGGUGUGUGUUGACAAUGUGGGAAGUGGUGACAGUGGAAUGAGUUUGACAGUGGGGCUGGUGGUGACAGUGGGGCUGGUGGUGACAGUGGGGGUGGUGGUGACAGUGGGGGAAGUGGUGACAAUGUGGGAAGUAGUGACAGUGGGGGGCUGGUGACCAUGGAGGGGUGGUGACAGUGUGGCAAGUGGUGACAGUGGAGUGAGUUUGACAGUGUGGCUGGUGGUGGCAGUGGGGGGUGACAGUGGGGGUGGUGGUGACAGUGGGGGAAGUGGAGAUAAUGGGGGGAUGGUGACAGUGGUAGUGUGAGGGAUGGUGACAGCUGGGGGUGUGGUAGCAUGUGGAGAGGCUGUGGCAUAGUGAAAUACCUUUUUUUCUGUUAUCCAUUCCCUGGUGGCCCAGUGGUCUCCUCCCUGAUGGCCCAGUGCUCUCCUCCUCCAUGGUAGUCCAGUGGGGUAGGUAGCCAGUCUGCCAGAGGCUCCCUGUCUGCAGCUCCGCCGGGUGCAGAGCUGCAGACUAUGGAGUAGAGAUCUUGCGAUCUCCAACACUUGAUGUGUCAGAGCAUUGCCGUGGUAAGCAACAGCAACAUUCUGUUUUGAGGGGCCCCACACCAGGUGGCAUACAUGACAAGCCACCGGGCCCCCUCAUGAUGUCGGCCCUUAGUCAUGGACCGAGGGCCGACACCUCUGUCAGCCAUUUUAAUUCAUUUGUUAAAUUUUAGUAAUAGGUUCACGUGAACCGGUAAUAACCGGCUGAAUCCCACCACUGCUUCUCUCUCCUACUGGACCCUGGGGGCCACAGGUUGUGAUCCCAGAUGUCCACAUACAGAUUAAUAUUCUCAGAAGCAAGCACACAGACAAAGAUCCAUACCCUCGGAUACACACCCACAGAUACACACACUGACAUGCAGAGACACACUAGUAUAAACCUUGCACCAUGCAGCAGUGACCCCGCACCAGCAUCAUUAAUUCAUUAACUGCAGUAGUUUAAGACCCCUGCUCUACAUAGGAUGUUAAUUUUUAUAACAUUCAUUUGUUGUCCUGGCUCGCUAGACACUUGCUGGUGAUGUGGUAGGAAUGUGGGCUCCUUGUCCUUGUCUAGUCCGAGGUUUGAACAUUUAUACUUCACACCACCUGACUCUUCUGAUGCUUUUUUGCUGGACAACUUUCCAAACACCAUCAAAGGACCCAAAAAAGUCCUCCUGCUGCAUAUCGUCAUCGCUUCCAAGAUCGCAACAGAAUUCCACUGGAAGUCUAUGAACCCUCCCUCAAUUUCAGAAAUGCUGAGUAAAAGUGGGGAAAGAAUAGGAAGAAAUGGCCCAUUGACUCCAAGGCUCCUCAGACUAAUUCAACAAAUCAUAGUCCUCCUGGACGUAAUGGACAAAGACCAGAAAACAGGCCACCAUGGACCCCUCCCCCGCCCAUCCUACACCUUUCCUAACCACUGUCCAUACAGUUCUCAUGUUCAUCCAAAUAUCUUCCAGAGAAAACUCUUGCUUAUACAAUCAGUUGAAUGCACUGCCCUGGCAGCAAAAUAUAGGGUUCAGGGGCAGAUGCCUCCAGAGAUAAUCUGAAUGAAGGACCACUAUGUUUCCACUAUGCAGCUCUUUUGUCAAAUCUUUUCAGGUAUUGUCCAAUGUUGUCAAAUGCUGUUGAAUAUUGUCAACCUUUGCCAAAUAUUGUUUGUACAUCAUAGAAUAACUGCAUUGUCAAUAUAGAAAAUCAAUAAAAUAAUAAAUAAAAAAGAAAUUAAACAUUAGUUAGUUGUUACUUAGAUUCCAUGACUAUUGUCGAUCAUCCUUUCACCAAGUGUAACAAUGAUUCAUAAUUUAAAAAAAAAAACAACAAAUUUUCACAUUUAAAUUCAUGUGGGCAUUAGGCUAUAAUAAGCUAUGAUCUUGAAAUUCCCGAGGUUGGGAAAAGUUUUAUGUGGCAGAUGCACAACAACAUUUUGUCCUCAUAGAAGGCCAUUUUGUGUUGCAAGAAGCCAUAGCAGAAGCUCCUAAUGUUAUCAAUAAUAUACCUGCCACAAAAAAUAGUUUCAGUUACAUGGUGAAUAGUACGGGUGAUAGAGGACAUAUUAGCUUGGUACAACUGGUGAAAUAGAUAACAUCCAAUUAACCACCAAGCCUAGACAUUAGGACAAAUAUAGAGGAACCUGUCCCAUUUUUGCAUUCAUUUACCUGAUGCCCAUUUUCUUCAAAGUAGCUUGGAUCAGUUCAUCCAGUAAAAUGUUUUCUGGCAAAAAAUAUAGAAUUCCAAUGUGUUGGAAUGUGUGAGUGGUAUGUUUUAUAUUAAAUAGUUCCACUCUGUUUUCUAUGCUUCUCAAUGUGUAGGACUAUUAUAUUUGCUGAAAAAGAGUCUUAGUGGAAGAUGUUUUCUCCAGGCAGAGAGCUAUGACUUGACAAAGUUUGGUAAGAGUUAGUGGCUGAAAGUGUUGUAGUAUCGAUAGGUGUUCUUAUGGAAGCUUUGGGGAUUCUUUAGCCCUGGAUCUCUACAGAUAGUGGAUGGGGAGGAGUAUAUUGAUGUUUUAUUAUUAUUAAAAAAUUUACAUCAGGCAGCUUCUUCUCAAAGCAGCCACCUGAUUAAAAAAGGAAGACUAGAAAAAUGUGCCACAAGAUUAAAAUAGUAGGAGGGGUUUGCCCCUCAGGUGAAUCAUAGGAGGGCUUGCUGGGCAAUAGAUCUUAACUGCACACACUCUAUUUGUUAGGUUGUAUGGCAGGAUUAUAUUGAAUACUUGGCUGUUCAACACUUGCCUGUUUCCAGCAAUGGUAUUAUUGAGAACCUGGGGGGCAUCAGCACCACAUGGAUAGAUGGGAAAUAGGGAGGACAAGGCAUAACAUACGUGGGGAUGUGGUAUGACAUGACACCACCUCUCUCCUAAUUUAGAGGUCAUCAAGUUUUGCUUUGUGCUUAGGGGAUCUGCAAUCUUGCCACACCCCUGGUAGAAACAUAGCGGCAAGCCCUUUGUCUUUACCAGGGAUGAUUACCUUUUUUGAUUUUGAGAGUGAUUGAGGAAUCUAGUGAUUCUGCAAUCUUUUUGGUCAAUGAAUUUAAAACAUCCCAUCCAAGUAUUCCUACACAUCUUCCUGAAGAACAUUUCUAAUAACUUAGGAUUAAUGUAAUAAAGUCAUAUAAAGUAAAAGUAAAAAUAACAUAUAUGUGUUCCCUGUAAGGGCAACAAGUGUCCCUUUCAAGGUCUCAAUUCUAUAAAUUGCCUUGCUCCUAUUCUGGAUCCUUUCAGCAAGUAGCAUAUUAAUAUUAAUAGUUAUAGAUAUAUUAUUCUUUUUAUAAUUGAUUAAACAGUUGAGUAGUAUUAUCUGUGCUACAUAUGCUUCUUGUGUUAGAAGAAAGAAAAAGAAUUAGCAGAUGCUGGCAUAAAAAUAUAUUUCUUCUGUGUCUCUGCCAGUCCAUCUUGUGACCAAACAGGAUGCGCUGAAAUUAGGAUAAAUAUGUAUAGUUCACAAGGACACUUGGGAUGUUAGUCUGGAUGUAGAUUAGAUACAAAUUCUUUUGGAAUCCAUUGGAUGAUAAUGAAUAUUUACCUUUGAUACUACUUCCUUUGAACGUGGCUGAAUUGCUGUGUCUGUUUUCAGAGAUUUUCCAGUAAUUUCAGGAUUUUAGAAAGAUAUCCUUAGCUACAGGAGGAGAAAUUUAAAAAAAAAUAUAUUUUUAGAAAUAUAAAACCUUGACUUAAUCAAUGUUAUAGUCUUCAUUCCCUCAAGCCCUAGUGUUGUGUAUUUAAUUGUUUAAAAAUAUGCAAGGCUACAACAUUUGCUCAUUUACUAAAUUAAACAGCCAAUUAGGCAAUCUUAUAAUUCUUACUUUCCUUUUCUAAAUCUUUUCACCCAGUUACUUUGCUCUUGUUUGCAAAGUAGGGUCAUCAAAAAUGUCCCUGGCAGGAAUAAAUGUGACAAAUCAUUGACCUCAUUCGUCCAACAGGGCUAUGAAGAUUUAAAGCCGUAGACUGGUCACCAGACACUGCUUUAAAAAUUUUAUUUUAGAGCAGAAAAGAUGUUUCUACGACUUUAAUAUAAUGAUGUUACUAUAUUUGCUUUCAUUUUAUUGAAAACUUUAAUAGAGCAUAAUAUGAGCCUCCUGUCUGAAAUAAAACAGAUUUUCCUAACAAAAUGAUGGAAAGGCAAAAUUUUAUUAAAGACAGGAGGUGAAUAUUAUCUGUCCCUGGUGAUAUGUCGUCUUUUGUACAUUUUUCUUUUUAUGGCAGUCAAUAUAAAGAAAGAACUUUCCAUCGUAAAAAAAAAAUAGUUUUGUCAAAAAAUACAGAUAAUGGUUUAUAGGACUGAUAUUGACAUUAUGUUUCACAUGAUUGGCUGUCCCAUUUUCAGCAACCUUAUACAUGUUUUACUUCACAUUUGUUUAUAAAGUGUUUACUUGUAAUGCUUUUUAUUUGGCUUUUUGUUUUGUUUUUAAGACCAGAAAGUUCACAUUUAUUUAUUUUAUUUUUUUUAUUUAUUUUUUUUAAAGUAAAUUCUUUUAUUCAAUUUCUUACAUAUAUACAAAUAUCAACACAACACCACAAAUCACAUAACAUCUAUUACACCAUUAAGACAUUCACAAUAUACAGACAAAUUACACUGUUAUCUGCGGGAUCGGGCUAUUAUAAAAAUAUGUCUUAGCUCAGGACUCUUACUCCUCAAGCAUUACCGGAUCUAAUGGUUAUCUGUUUAAUUUAUAUAGUAGGUUCUAUUUUAUUAACCCAUCUUUUCCAUAGAUCCCUUCUCUUUGGGGAAUUCAAAUAUGGCAUACUUAGAUCUCUUUCCAUCCUCAUCUGAAGGAUGAUUUGAUCUUUAAUGGCAUCCCAGUAAGCUGCUUGAUUAGAUUUCCAGUUCCGUGCUAGAACAAUUUUAAAUGCAACAAGACAAUGAAUUAUAAAACAACUAUUUGUAUAUGACAUAUUCGGCCAAUGCAUAUGUAACAAGACUACCUCUGGUUUCUUUUCUAAUUCUAUUCCAGUAUUAUAUUUAAUAAAUCCUAUCGUUCUCUUGAUAGAGGUCUGAAUAUUUGAACAACUCCACCAAAUGUGGAGAAAUGAACCCUCCUCUUUAUCACAUCUCCAACAUCUAGAGGUUACUCCAGGGUACAUCUGAGAAAGCUUGCUAGGAACCAAAUACCAUCUAUACAUAACCUUGUAGUAAGUUUCUAAUAAAUUUAAACAUUGGACCUGUCGACGAGUAUUAUUUAUAGCUUUACACCAAUCUUCUUGUUCUAAGGAACACUUCAGAUCGUUUUCCCAUUUAGUCUUCUGGGGGAAAUUAACUACCUCAUUAAUAUUUCUAAUUAUCUCUAUUGCUUUAGCUAAAACUUUUGAUAUAUUCUGAUUUGAAAAUAUGCGUUUUAUCAUUAUAUGCGCUUUUCCAGAAUCUUUAUUAAGAUGUUUCUGUAAAAAAUGUUUAAGCCUCAAAUAUGCAAAUAACUCUCGUUGAGGAAGAUGAUAUUUUUGUACUAUAAUAUCAAAAGGCAAUAUUUUAUCUGAGUUUAAUAUCUGUGAAACUUUAUUUAUUCCUUUAAGUCUCCAAGUUUCUAGAGAUAGAUCUUUCAUAUUGGCUUCUACUAUCCUUAAAUUUGCCGUAUCCAUAAUUGCAUAUUUGAGGCCUAUUUUCUUUUUAAUUUCCUCCCAGACAGGCAACAAUUGGGCCCAAAUAAUGUUAUUUUUAAUAUCUAUCCCCAUAUUGUCUAGAGUUUUCGUAUUCCAUAGCAAACCUUCUGGAUUUUUUAGUCUCAGAUCUUCCAUUUCGAUACUAAACCAGCUUUCUUCUUGAGCUGUCCCCGUCUGGGACCUAUACAUAUGAUUGAUCACAUUUGCCCAGUAUAUAACUCUUAUAUUAGGAAAGUUUAAACCUCCUUCCUUAAUCUUUAGUGAUAGGAUGUUUCUAUUAAUUCUAUUUUUCUUACCAUUAUUAAUGAAAUUUUCUAAAUUGUUCUGUAAUAACGUCAACCAUAUGUCUGGAAUCCUAAGUGGAAUCAUCUGAAAUAGAUAGCUCCAUUUAGGAAUAAUAUAAGAAUUGAUGACAUUAAUACAGCCCCACCAAGUAAUCUGCAUAUUAAAUUUAGAAAGUUUUCUUCCAUCAUCCUCUCUAUAUUCUUGGUAACCAAUAUUCCUAAGCAAUUAAAUUUCUGAGGUGUCCAUGUAAAUACAUAUUGCUUACUAAUUUCCUCUCUUAUCUUCUUAUCUAAUUCAACACUCAUCACAACUGUUUUUUCAUUAUUUAAUUUAUAAUUUGCCAAAUGGCUAUACACUCUAACUUCCUCCAUCAGAUAGUUCAAAGAGCUAGCUGGUUCAGUAAUUGACAAGAGGAUAUCGUCUGCAUAGAGACUUAUUUUAAAUUCUCUAUCUCUUAUUCUAUAUCCUUUUAUAUCUACAUUUUUCCUAAUAUUUUCCGCUAAGGGCUCUAUUGAAAGAACAUAUAGUAAUGGCGAAAGUGGACAUCCUUGUCUCACCCCAUUAUUUACUGAUACCCAAUCUGAACAAAUAUUUGGGCCUACUAUUCUAGUUGAAGGAUUUUUAUAUAAAGCCAUAAUACCCCUUAACAACCAGCCUUCUAUUCCAUAUGCUUCUAAAGUUAAUUCUAAAAACUUCCAGUUUAACCUAUCGAAGGCUUUUUCUGCAUCAACUGCUAAGGUCAUAAGAGGAAUAUGUUUCUUAUUAGCAUUAUCAAUUAUAUCGAUGAUUCUUCUUGAAUUAGAGCCUAUCCACAUAUCUGGAAUAAAACCUAUUUGAUCAUUGUGAAUGAGCUUAUUAAUGAUACUCUUAAGGCGGUCUGCCAAUAUAGAUGAGAAUAAUUUAACAUCUGAAUUAAUUAGAGAGAUAGGGCGAUAACUGGCCACAAUAGUUGGAUCUUUUCCUUGUUUCAAGAGGGGGAGCAUAUUAGCUCUAGUCAUCUCUUCAGGAAAACUUCCUAUUUGAACCGCAUUAUUGAAUGUUGAUGCUAAUUGUUUACUCAAAAUAGAUUUAUAAGUAUGGAAAAACAAAUUAGAGAAUCCAUCUGGGCCUGGUGUUUUCGACUUCUGGGUUUUAGAUAUAGCCCUAUUCACCUCAGCUUCUGUAAUCGGAUUAUUAAUACUAUCUUUCUGAAUCUGAUCUAAUUUAGUUAGAUUUGUACUAGUUAAAUACUGUUUGAUCUUAUUUGUAGUAGCUUCAACAGGGAGAUUAUAUAGUAACCCAUAAUAAUCUCUAAAGCAGUCCCCAAUAUCUUUUGGGUUUGUAUAAAUUAUUUGAUUAUAUAUAAUCUUAGAUAUACGAGCAUUAGCAUAUUGUUUCCUCAAUUUAUUAGUUAGCAUCUUAUCUGUUUUGUUCCCUCUACAAUAGAAUCUCAAUUUCAGUUUUUUAAUAUUUUCUAUUGUUUUAGUAUUUAAACAUUGCAGAAUAUUUUUUUGCACUACUGAUAUUCGUCUGCCUUUCUCCAUUGUGGGCUCUGCUUUAUUAUCUGUUGUAAGCUUAUAAAGUUCAAUGUAUAGAUCACCAAGUCUCUUUUCUUUACUUUUAGCUUCAUGGUUUAGCUUUAUAAGAUAGCCUCUUACAACUGCUUUAAAUGAACACCAUGUAUUCAGAUAUGAGGUUUCUAAAGGAUCAUUCUCCCUAAAGAAACAUAUUAUCAGUUUCUCUAACUUAGUCUUACUCCUUUUAUUAUAUAACAAAUAGUUAUUUAAUUUCCAUGUUGUAUUAUUUAUAGCUGUCAUCUUAUCUUUUAUUUCAAAUAUGUACAUACUAUGUAAAACACAAUUUUAGAAAGGAAAAGCUGAUAAAAAUGCUCAAAUCACCAAGUGUGAGUCACUCCAAAUCACACAAAGAACCAUACAAUACAAUAAUAAUAUAGUGAGAGCAAACUCUAUACACCAGAUAAAAUGGAUAUAAAAACAGGCAAUAUUACCAUAUGGCUGCAAUGUCCUAAAAAUAGAAAAUAGGGAACAUAGUAUAGCCUGUAUAGAAUAUACAAAAAAUAAUACAAUGUAAAAUUGUCCACUCACGUGGUACUGAGCCGUUCAGUGGCUCAGACUAUAGGCGCCUUGUAAAAAUAUGGAGACCACAAUGCUGGAAAGGCAAAUCUCUGUAGGAAUUCCCUUUUGUGACUAAAUGGAAAGUCGAGUCAGGAAAUACAGGAUCAAAUUUUAUUCGCCAACAAUCGCAUAUAAAAUGGAAUCUCUCAAAUUAUUGCACUAACGCGUUUCAACCUAAACGGUCUUUAUCAAAAUUAAUAGUCCAUUGAGUAGGACAAAUUUUACAUUAAUUAUUUUUGUAUAUUCUGCAAGGCUAUAUACUAUGUUCUUUUCUAUUUUUAAGGACUUGUGCAUACUAUGGUAAUAACGCGCAUUUUUAUAUACAUACUAUGGUCAUUAUACAUACAUUUCCACUAAUCUACCAAAUUGUCUAUUAGAGUUACAUUACCCCAGAUCAUAUCGAUUCUUGAGUAUGUAAAAUGUACUCUAGAUAGAUGGGUGUAAUCUCUUAAUUCAGGACUUUGAAGAUGCCAAGCAUCGAAUAAAUCAUAAUUGUUUUUCGUAUUGGUCAGUAAACUCGCAUUUUUAAUUAUUGUUUUGUUCAUUACACUCCCUUUCAGCAGUUUUUUAUCCUUUUGUGGAUCCAAUAUACAAUUAAAAUCUCCUGCUACUAUAUAUAUCCCAGUUUUGACUGAAUCCGCUUUAUCUAAUAUUUUCUUCAGUUGAGAAACUGGAGCUACAUUUGGUAGAUAUAUGUUAACUAUCGUAUAUUUAACAUCAUUUAUCUUACCUACUAAAAUCAUAAAUCUUCCUUCUUUAUCUAAUUCCUGGUAAAUGUUCUCCCACUUAACCCUAUCUGAAAUUAUCAUUGCUACACCUCUUUUUUUUUUAUCCUUCAUGGAUGCAUGUAGAAAGAUUGGGAGCUUAUUGCCUCCCCAUGUUAAUUUCUCAUUUUGUCUCCUGAAUUAAACAGAUAUCUAUUUUUUCUUUUAUCAUUUUAUUUCUUAGCAGAGAUCUUUUAUACAUCGUAUUGAGGCCCUGAGCAUUAAUAGACAUAAAUUUAACCAUAUUUUAAUCCUCUGCCUCCAUUUUCAUCCCUUCUGCCCUUAAGACCCCGCAGAUAACAGACAUUUAUCACAAACAACAUUACAUUGAUUAAGGACAUCUUGUCGUCCUACUUGUUGACCCAUCUAACAGAGAACUAACCCUAAUUCCUGUAGAUAGACCCCGUCCCGUGAGAAGCCAGCUACUCCGAGACUUAUGCUAAAUACAAGCAUCAGGCAGAUCUAUAUUUUGGAGUCAUGAGGCCCGGGGGGAGGAGGGGGAGAGAAAAAAAAAAAUCUUUAUAUUACAUUAUAGAACUGUUACCAAAUGGUUCUCUUACAGUUAUUAUUUCUCUAUAGGCACCCUCUUCCUCCCUUUCCCGUUUUCUGGUUCUUCUUCUCUCCCCUUUCCCUUUCUCAUUAAAUUUUUUAUAAAUUACUAUAGCAUAUUUGAAAAGGAGAAAAAAAAAAAAAAUUGCUGGCAAUUUGAGAAUCAAACAAAGUUUUAAUGAUUGAUAAACUUAUAUGAAUUGCAUACAGGCAAUAAUCCAAUAAGAAGAAAGUGCAGGUUAUCAAACAAUACAAAGUUCAUUAAUAAGUAUUUCCUCAGAGAAGUUUUAAAUAAGAUUCUUUAGGUUGCUGGGAAUAAUCUUCAAUAGAAACAUUAAGCAGGUAGCAGAGAGUAUUUGCAAAGCAAGAAACAGUUCAUAGUAAAUAAGCAUGAUGGGAGUUGUCCUCCAUAUAAUUAGUAACUUGAAGCAGAGAAGAUUUGAGCAAGCAGGAAUUGGUUCCAAAAAACAGUUCAUAGUAAAUAAGCAUGAUGGGAGUUGUCCUCCAUAUAAUUAGUAACUUGAAGCAAACACUGGCGGAUCCAGGGGGGGGGCAACGGGGCAAUUGCCCCCCCCGAGAAAUCCGCCGGUCUCCCUCCCCUGCCAGCACAUGCAGGUGCUAGCCCUGCAAUGUGCCUGCGGACCGGAGGGAGAUCACAGAUCUCCCUCCCCAGUCCGCAGACACUGUGCUGGCAGCCGGCAGGGGAGGGAGAGGGAGGACCCGGAGCUCAGGCUGCAGCUCCUCUGUUCUUCACAGAUGGGAGCUUGGCUGCUGCUGUCAAGUAGCAACGCCUAGUUCAAGGAGUGAACUCUAGCCCGAGCGCGGGCUAGAGCUCACUCUCCCCACUGGGACCACCAGGGAAUCACCACUGGGACCACCAGGGAUCGAAAUAUGUCCCCCCCUCCUCCCCAGUAAAGGUAAGAAGGGAGGGGGGACAUAGGAUAUAUAUUUUUUUAAAAAUUAAAUAUUUAAAAAUAUAUAUUAUAAAAAAAAGCCCCCCUCCCCUUAACACACACACAUAUACAUUGCCCCCAUGCUGCCCCCCAUACACACAUGCUGCCCCCCAUGCUGCCCCCAUACACACAUGCUGCCCCCCAUACACACAUGCUGCCCCCAUACACACAUACUGCCCCAUGCUGCCCCCCAUACACACAUACUGCCCCGCAUACACACAUACUGCCCUCAUACACACAUACUGCCCCUCAUACACACAUACUGCCCCUCAUACACACAUACUGCCCCUCAUACACACAUACUGCCCCUCAUACACACACACUGCCCCCAUACACUGCCGCCCCAUACACACACACAUUGCCCACACUCACACACACACACUGCAACUGUUACACACACAUACUGUCCCACACAUACACUGCAUCCCUGACAUACACUGCCCCCCCUACUCACACACACACUGCUCACACACUGUCCCCCUCACACACACACUGCUCACACACUGUCCCCCUCACACACACACACUGCUCACACACUGUCCCCCUCACACACACUGCACCCCUUACACAUUGCACCACUCACACACACCACUGCUCCUAUGCCCUACUACCGCCCCAUUUCCCAGCAGACCUCAGGUAAGUUGUCAAACUGUUCUUAAACGGUUUGACUACUUACUCUAGGAGCGGGUCCCGGCACUAUUGACACCAUAACCACUACACUGAGCUGUAGUAUUUAUUGUGUCUGGAUUAUUUCUUUAAAUAAUCUACAAGUGCCCCUCCCGAGAUCAGGCUCUGGAUCCGCCACUGGAAGCAAAGAAGAUUUAAGCAAGCAGGAAUUGGUUCAUUAAUAAAUGAUAUUGCAGAAAAUAGUUGAAAGAUAUACUUAAGGUUAAGGUGAGUUGUCCUCCAAGAGUUCAGAGUUAUAGUCCACUUGUAAAUUAGCAAAGUAUCCGUUCUCCAGUAAUCCUCUAUGGCUUGCAGCAAUCCUUGCAUUGGCUCAAAGGCUGGGACGGCUUGUCAGAGCUUGUGGAGCUGGCGUGUAUACCCGGAAGUAGAUCCCACAUUUACCAUGUGUGGGAGUGUGCUGUGUGUGAGCGAGGGUGCUGUGUGUCUGAGGGUGCUCUGUGUGUGUCUGAGGUUUCGCUGUGUGUCUGAGGGUACGCUGUGUGUGUCUGAGGGUGCGCUGUGUGUGUUUGGGUGCUGUGUGUGUCUGGGGGUGCUGUGUGUGUCUGGGUGCUGUGUGUGUGUCUGGGUGCUGUGUGUGGGCCUGGGGGUGCUGUGUGUGUGUCUGGGUGCUGUGUGUGUGUCUGGGGGUGCUGUGGUGUGUCUGGGUUCUGUGUGUGUCUGGGUGCACUGUGUGUGUCUGGGUGCGCUGUGUGUGUCUGGGUGCGCUGUGUGUGUCUGGGUGGGUGUGUCUGGGGGUGCUGUGUGUGUCUGGUGGUGCAGUGUGUGUCUGGGUGCUGUGUGUGUCUGGGUGCACUGUGUGUCUCUGGGUGCGCUGUGUGUCUCUGGGUGCGCUGUGUGUGUCUGGGGGUGCUGUGUGUGUGUGGGUGCUGUGUGUGUCUGGGUGCUGUGUGUGUCUGGGUGCACUGUGUGUAUCUGGGUGCUGUGUGUGUGUCUGGGUGCUGUGUGUGUCUGGGUGCUGUGUGUUUGUGUGUGGGUGCUGUGUGUGUCUGGAUGCUGUGUGUGUGUGUGGGUGCUGUGUGUGUGAGUGUGAAUGUAUUUUUUAUUUAAAUUAAAAUAUAUUUUUUAAUAAUAAAAAAAAAAAAGUUAUUUCCCCCUCCCUUCUUACCUUUAGCCUGGGAGGGUAGGAGCCAUAUUGCCAUGGGGGGGAGCCUUGUUGCCAUGUGGAGGAGCCGUGCUGCCAUCCUUUCCUGGUGGUGAGAGGUAACCGCGGCAACGCUCAGAAUCCCGCGAGAGCUCUAACCAGCAGCUCCGCCGGGUCCUCUCGCGGGAUUCUGAGCGUUGCCGCGGUUAUCUUUGAUCNNNNNNNNNNNNNNNNNNNNNNNNNNNNNNNNNNNNNNNNNNNNNNNNNNNNNNNNNNNNNNNNNNNNNNNNNNNNNNNNNNNNNNNNNNNNNNNNNNNNUUUUAUUUUUUUUAUUUAUUUUUUUUAAAGUAAAUUCUUUUAUUCAAUUUCUUACAUAUAUACAAAUAUCAACACAACACCACAAAUCACAUAACAUCUAUUACACCAUUAAGACAUUCACAAUAUACAGACAAAUUACACUGUUAUCUGCGGGAUCGGGCUAUUAUAAAAAUAUGUCUUAGCUCAGGACUCUUACUCCUCAAGCAUUACCGGAUCUAAUGGUUAUCUGUUUAAUUUAUAUAGUAGGUUCUAUUUUAUUAACCCAUCUUUUCCAUAGAUCCCUUCUCUUUGGGGAAUUCAAAUAUGGCAUACUUAGAUCUCUUUCCAUCCUCAUCUGAAGGAUGAUUUGAUCUUUAAUGGCAUCCCAGUAAGCUGCUUGAUUAGAUUUCCAGUUCCGUGCUAGAACAAUUUUAAAUGCAACAAGACAAUGAAUUAUAAAACAACUAUUUGUAUAUGACAUAUUCGGCCAAUGCAUAUGUAACAAGACUACCUCUGGUUUCUUUUCUAAUUCUAUUCCAGUAUUAUAUUUAAUAAAUCCUAUCGUUCUCUUGAUAGAGGUCUGAAUAUUUGAACAACUCCACCAAAUGUGGAGAAAUGAACCCUCCUCUUUAUCACAUCUCCAACAUCUAGAGGUUACUCCAGGGUACAUCUGAGAAAGCUUGCUAGGAACCAAAUACCAUCUAUACAUAACCUUGUAGUAAGUUUCUAAUAAAUUUAAACAUUGGACCUGUCGACGAGUAUUAUUUAUAGCUUUACACCAAUCUUCUUGUUCUAAGGAACACUUCAGAUCGUUUUCCCAUUUAGUCUUCUGGGGGAAAUUAACUACCUCAUUAAUAUUUCUAAUUAUCUCUAUUGCUUUAGCUAAAACUUUCGAUAUAUUCUGAUUUGAAAAUAUGCGUUUUAUCAUUAUAUGCGCUUUUCCAGAAUCUUUAUUAAGAUGUUUCUGUAAAAAAUGUUUAAGCCUCAAAUAUGCAAAUAACUCUCGUUGAGGAAGAUGAUAUUUUUGUACUAUAAUAUCAAAAGGCAAUAUUUUAUCUGAGUUUAAUAUCUGUGAAACUUUAUUUAUUCCUUUAAGUCUCCAAGUUUCUAGAGAUAGAUCUUUCAUAUUGGCUUCUACUAUCCUUAAAUUUGCCGUAUCCAUAAUUGCAUAUUUGAGGCCUAUUUUCUUUUUAAUUUCCUCCCAGACAGGCAACAAUUGGGCCCAAAUAAUGUUAUUUUUAAUAUCUAUCCCCAUAUUGUCUAGAGUUUUCGUAUUCCAUAGCAAACCUUCUGGAUUUUUUAGUCUCAGAUCUUCCAUUUCGAUACUAAACCAGCUUUCUUCUUGAGCUGUCCCCGUCUGGGACCUAUACAUAUGAUUGAUCACAUUUGCCCAGUAUAUAACUCUUAUAUUAGGAAAGUUUAAACCUCCUUCCUUAAUCUUUAGUGAUAGGAUGUUUCUAUUAAUUCUAUUUUUCUUACCAUUAUUAAUGAAAUUUUCUAAAUUGUUCUGUAAUAACGUCAACCAUAUGUCUGGAAUCCUAAGUGGAAUCAUCUGAAAUAGAUAGCUCCAUUUAGGAAUAAUAUAAGAAUUGAUGACAUUAAUACAGCCCCACCAAGUAAUCUGCAUAUUAAAUUUAGAAAGUUUUCUUCCAUCAUCCUCUCUAUAUUCUUGGUAACCAAUAUUCCUAAGCAAUUAAAUUUCUGAGGUGUCCAUGUAAAUACAUAUUGCUUACUAAUUUCCUCUCUUAUCUUCUUAUCUAAUUCAACACUCAUCACAACUGUUUUUUCAUUAUUUAAUUUAUAAUUUGCCAAAUGGCUAUACACUCUAACUUCCUCCAUCAGAUAGUUCAAAGAGCUAGCUGGUUCAGUAAUUGACAAGAGGAUAUCGUCUGCAUAGAGACUUAUUUUAAAUUCUCUAUCUCUUAUUCUAUAUCCUUUUAUAUCUACAUUUUUCCUAAUAUUUUCCGCUAAGGGCUCUAUUGAAAGAACAUAUAGUAAUGGCGAAAGUGGACAUCCUUGUCUCACCCCAUUAUUUACUGAUACCCAAUGUGAACAAAUAUUUGGGCCUACUAUUCUAGUUGAAGGAUUUUUAUAUAAAGCCAUAAUACCCCUUAACAACCAGCCUUCUAUUCCAUAUGCUUCUAAAGUUAAUUCUAAAAACUUCCAGUUUAACCUAUCGAAGGCUUUUUCUGCAUCAACUGCUAAGGUCAUAAGAGGAAUAUGUUUCUUAUUAGCAUUAUCAAUUAUAUCGAUGAUUCUUCUUGAAUUAGAGCCUAUCCACCUAUCUGGAAUAAAACCUAUUUGAUCAUUGUGAAUGAGCUUAUUAAUGAUACUCUUAAGGCGGUCUGCCAAUAUAGAUGAGAAUAAUUUAACAUCUGAAUUAAUUAGAGAGAUAGGGCGAUAACUGGCCACAAUAGUUGGAUCUUUUCCUUGUUUCAAGAUGGGGAGCAUAUUAGCUCUAGUCAUCUCUUCAGGAAAACUUCCUAUUUGAACCGCAUUAUUGAAUGUUGAUGCUAAUUGUUUACUCAAAAUAGAUUUAUAAGUAUGGAAAAACAAAUUAGAGAAUCCAUCUGGGCCUGGUGUUUUCGACUUCUGGGUUUUAGAUAUAGCCCUAUUCACCUCAGCUUCUGUAAUCGGAUUAUUAAUACUAUCUUUCUGAAUCUGAUCUAAUUUAGUUAGAUUUGUACUAGUUAAAUACUGUUUGAUCUUAUUUGUAGUAGCUUCAACAGGGAGAUUAUAUAGUAACCCAUAAUAAUCUCUAAAGCAGUCCCCAAUAUCUUUUGGGUUUGUAUAAGUUAUUUGAUUAUAUAUAAUCUUAGAUAUACGAGCAUUAGCAUAUUGUUUCCUCAAUUUAUUAGUUAGCAUCUUAUCUGUUUUGUUCCCUCUACAAUAGAAUCUCAAUUUCAGUUUUUUAAUAUUUUCUAUUGUUUUAGUAUUUAAACAUUGCAGAAUAUUUUUUUGCACUACUGAUAUUCGUCUGCCUUUCUCCAUUGUGGGCUCUGCUUUAUUAUCUGUUGUAAGCUUAUAAAGUUCAAUGUAUAGAUCACCAAGUCUCUUUUCUUUACUUUUAGCUUCAUGGUUUAGCUUUAUAAGAUAGCCUCUUACAACUGCUUUAAAUGAACACCAUGUAUUCAGAUAUGAGGUUUCUAAAGGAUCAUUCUCCCUAAAGAAACAUAUUAUCAGUUUCUCUAACUUAGUCUUACUCCUUUUAUUAUAUAACAAAUAGUUAUUUAAUUUCCAUGUUGUAUUAUUUAUAGCUGUCAUCUUAUCUUUUAUUUCAAAUAUGUACAUACUAUGGUCUGACCAUACAUUUUCCACUAUAUUUAUCUCUACCAAAUUGUCUAUUAGAGUUAUAUUACCCCAGAUCAUAUCGAUUCUUGAGUAUGUAAAAUGUACUCUAGAUAGAUGGGUGUAGUCUCUUAAUUCAGGAUUUUGAAGACGCCAAGCAUCGAAUAAAUCGUAAUUGUUUUUCGCAUUGGUCAGUAAGCUCGCAUUUUUAAUUAUUGUUUUGUUCAUUACACUCCCUUUCAGCAGUUUUUUAUCCUUUUGUGGAUCCAAUAUACAAUUAAAAUCUCCUGCUACUAUAUAUAUCCCAGUUUUGACUGAAUCCGCUUUAUCUAAUAUUUUCUUCAGUUGAGAAACUGGAGCUACAUUUGGUAGAUAUAUGUUAACUAUCGUAUAUUUAACAUCAUUUAUCUUACCUACUAAAAUCAUACAUCUUCCUUCUUUAUCUAAUUCCUGGUAAAUGUUCUCCCACUUAACCCUAUCUGAAAUUAUCAUUGCUACACCUCUUUUUUUUUUAUCCUUCAUGGAUGCAUGUAGAAAGAUUGGGAGCUUAUUGCCUCCCCAUGUUAAUUUCUCAUUUUGUCUCCAGUGUGUCUCCUGAACUAAACAGAUAUCUAUUUUUUCUUUUAUCAUUUGAUUUCGUAGCAGAGAUCUUUUAUACAUCGUAUUGAGGCCCUGAGCAUUAAUAGAAAUUAAAUUUAACCAUAUUUUAAUCCUCUGCCUCCAUUUUCAUCCCUUCUGCCCUUAAGACCCCGCAGAUAACAGACAUUUAUCACAAACAACAUUACAUUGAUUAAGGACAUCUUGUCGUCCUACUUGUUAACCCAUCUAACAGAGAACUAACCCUAAUUCCUGUAGAUAGACCCCGUCCCGUGAGAAGCCAGCUACUCCGAGACUUAUGCUUAAUACAAGCAUCAGGCAGAUCUAUAUUUUGGAGUCAUGAGGCCCGGGGGGAGGAGGGGGAGAAAAAAAAAAUGUCUUUAUAUUACAUUAUAGAACUGUUACCAACUGGUUCUCUUACAGCUAUUAUUUCUCUAUAGGCACCCUCUUCCUCCCUUUCCUGUUUUCUGGUUCUUCUUCUCUCCCCUUUCCCUUUCUCAUUAAAUUUUUUAUAAGUUACUAUAGCAUAUUUGAAAAGGAGAAAAAAAAUAAAAAAUUUUUUAACUCAUUUAUCAAUUAGUGUAAGCAUCUACCUCUUUAUCGUUAUAGUGACUAUUUCUCUGCAAAACCUUUUUCUGUACUUCUGUGAUACUCCCUUAUACCAAAUUUAUCACUUAACUACCUUGAUAUAUUAUUUUAUCUUAUGUCGAAUUGUACUUAAUCUUAAUUAGUACUUCUUCUCCCUUUACCGAUAUCUUACUCUGUAGUGAAUAUAUUAACAUUUGUGAACUUUUCAUAUUUGAUAUUACAAUCUGUCCUUAUACAAAUUUGUACUAACUCUUAACAUACCAAUAAAAUUAUAGUGAUUAUUAUCAACCCAGACCUUUUCUAUAUUUCAAUACUAAAAUUAUUCUUCCCAUUGAUCAUAAUUUAACAGUGAGUAACCAUCUUGUAAUAUUUUCUCCUAUACCUAAUACCAUUCUGACACAUAUUUCUAACAAAAAAAAAAUAAAUAAAUAAAAAUUGUUCCUUUCUUUUUCUCUCUUUCUUUUCCUUCCUUUUUCUUUUAUCUUUUAGAUAAGAUAAUAUUUUUUGACCAGACUUCUUAGUUUUUAACUAAGGUGAAUAGUCUUCUUAUUAUUCGUUGACUUUUUGCUUGAGGUCUUUUAAUUUUAGGAGUAUAAGCAAUUUUAACCAGGCUUCUAAAUUUUUUUUAGUUGAAAUAAAUAUUCUCCAUUUUUCUUCCUCCUGUAUAGUUCUUUUAAACUCAUUUAUCUUGAUAGAGGGUUUGCCUUCCUCAACUUCUUAGGUCUUUUAACCAGUUGUACAAAAAAAAAAGUCCUUUAGUUUUAAGGGAAUAUUGUUUUUGUCCAGGCUUCUAGGUCUUUAGCUGAAGUGAAUUGUCUCCAUCUUUCUUCCCACCACACAAUUAUUUUAGAUGAUUGUACCCAUUUAUAUUUCAUAUUAUUUUGCUUCAAUGGGUCUAAGGCUGAAAAGUGUUUCUCCAAGUUCUUGUUUGCAUUGACAGAUCUUGAAAUAUAAUAAUAUCUUUAAAUUUCUCCGGUAAGUUAACUUUAUUCCUCAGCAAAUUAACCACUUGUUGUUUAUGUGAGUAGGAAAAAAACCAAACGAUAACAUCCCUUGGGUAAUGAGCUGGGACCUCACUAGGUUUUCUUAGUCUAUGUGUUCUUUCAAUUAUAGGCAGAAGGGCUUCAUUCUGCAGACCAACUUCUUGAAAAAAAGAAAGCAAAAAAUCUUUCAAUAGAUCUUGAGUUACAGAUUCCGGUAUAUUUCUAAGACGCACAUUACAUCUCCUCGAUCGAUCCUUCAGAUCUCUAAUCUUCAGAUUAAUUUGCUGUAUUAAAACUUCUGUUUGAAUGUUCUCUGUUUGCAGGUUUUUUAUUUGACCUUCCAUUAUAUUAAUUUUUUCUAAUGCAGAACUCAGCUUUGUGUUUAUUUUCUCCAUCUCCAAUUUAAUUAUAUUAGAGCUAUUUAUGAUCUGAUUAGCAAUAUGUGCCAUUUGCUUGUCCAGUUUGUUCACUAAGAAAUCUUGAGAAACGUAAUUCUUCUGUUCUGCAUUAUGAGCAAUUGUUGUUUGUGUAUUCUGAUCUUGAUAUAUCGUAUCGAUAUCCUUAUGACCUAAUUUUUCUUUAUUGGGAGAAAAAAACCCCGACAAUCUUGUUGGCUGAGAGUCAUCCUUUUUAUCUCUAGUUUUUAUUUGUUUCUUAGACGCCAUUUCUGGAGCUUUUAAUCUUAAAAAAUUUUUUUUUUUAAAUGCCCUAUAGCAGUGUGCUCGGGUAUACUCAGAUAUUUUUUAUGUAGAAGCUUUCUUUCUCCUGUCCUUUCUCCUUUUCUUAUCUUUCUUUUCCUUUUUUAAAUAUGCACUAGUUAUAUCAAUGAUGUAUCAAUGAUGUGCAUAGGUGGUGUGCAUUAGCAAUAAUUAAAAACAACUGACAUAAACAGCAUGUAUCAUAUAGCAUAUAAAACAGUCCCACGCUUAACAGGCUUCUUAACAGCUUUCUCCGUAGAGUUUCUCAAUAAAUUUUUCAUGCACUUAUCUUUAAGCCGUAAUUUGCUCUCCCGUUUUAUGGGCUUCUUUUAGCCCCCUCUGAUUCUUCGGUUUUUCUGCAUCCAACCUCGUGGGGUAAACCGUCUUAUGCUGUUGCGAUUAAAUAAUACUGAGUAUGUCAGGAUCUCUCUGGAUCCACUCUAGGCUCUGAGCUCUGGACACACACUGGGGUACUGUCCUCACAUCCAAAACCGCUUUGCCCUCGCAUCCAAAUUUCUCAUCUACGCCAACUGCUUCGUCCUCACCAUCGGACCUCGCCUCCCCUCACCUUCCCCUUCCGCGCCUCACGUACUCCUCCUAGACCCGCCUCUCGACGUGCUCACGCACUCAUGUCAUCACGCUCCCCUCCAUAGAAAGUUCACAUUUAAAGGCUAUUAUUAGUACGUAGAAAGAAAACAUAAUUUUGUCUUUCACCAACUUAAAAAUGUGUGAAGUUUUUGGUACCUUUAAAAAAAAUAUAAAAAUAAUAACAACAUUGAGGAACAGGUUGAAAAAUAGCUUAUUAUUAUUUUUAUAAAAGAUAAAUAAUGCAAGGAGUUCCACAAGGUUAUAGUUUAUUUUGAUGCAAAAGUCUGCAUGUUUUCUUACUGUCAUUUAGUACAUUGUUUGGAAGAAAAUGUCAUGCUACACUGUAUUAUAUUGCCUCUUAUGUAUAAAGCUGUCCGUUAUGUGUUAAGAAAUGCACAGUUAUGAUAACAUUUUUAAACGGUAUGUUUAUAUACAGCUUCUACAGUGCUUUCAUCCUGAAUCUAUGUACCCCUUGAAUAAAAUAUUUAAGACAGAAAAUUAUUAAUUGUUAUGAAUUAUAUCAGGCUGACCAAAAUCAGAGUAACAUAGAGGCUAUUGGAUCAAAAGCUCCGGGGCCCACAUGUUACUAUAUGCCCAACCAGCAUGGUGUUUUUUUGUGAUCAGUAGCUCAUGUGGAAUGCUGAAUGUCUUAAUCAUAUUAUGUAACCAGGGAUCUACAGAGAUCCUCUUCCAUUUAACUGUACACUGCCGAUAACAUCUAAAAAUGCCAACUCACUCACAUUACAAUACAUCUCUAUGAGCAGAUGCUGAUUGGAGCAGAUGCUGAUUGGAGCAGCACUGCAUUUUACUGCACAUGAUCAAUAGUCUCCCAGUACUUUCCUACGGGAGGCAUAGGAUUGUCUGAGAUGAUCAUCUUUGAUGAUCUCAGCAAAGAAGGCAGAGUGAGGUGGGACAGCUGCAAGGAGACCCGAGAGGCACUGGAGUAAAGGUGACUACCUUUGUUAAUGGUGGGCAAGGGCGGGUGGUGACCGAAAUGGCUAUUUUUAACCUAUAGUGUCAGGAAUACAUAUUUUUAUUCCUGACACUAUAGUGUUCCUUUACCAGCUGGAGGUUCCAAAAUAUACCUUAUACUCACAAAACACAGGAGGCGCACAUAUCUGUGACCCAUAUGAAAGAUUAUCUGAGCAGGCUGAAACGGAUCUGGGUACCUCCGUUGAAGGAUGCUCCUAGCGCUUCCUGAGCACUCCAAGCACUGCAGCAGACACCACAACCACCAAACUGGAGAAGCAUACGAAUGCUCUCAAGCAUAUGAAUGCUGUCAGCAGCUGAACAGGAAAAGCAUACAAUCAGCUUACACUCCUGGCAAUCAGCAUACAAUCCAAUUCCCCCAAUAACGAGACGACACUUCGUUUUGAGGUCAAUCAGAACUGCCUGUACUGGCACAUACAGCCUCUUUUAUUCACAAUCCACAAACAUAGUACUGCACACAGGGUUUUGAAAUACAACCAAUCAAUCCGUGCAAUACACACAGACACUCCCACACAAAAUCCUACCCUCUGCCUGUGAUAUGAUUACUGAACACAAUGGUUAAUAUAAUUAUCACAGGCAGAGAAAUACAGUAUUAUAAAACAUAUCACAGGGACCUCAAAACAUCCAAUAACCCCAUAAAAGUAUAUCCUCGGAACCGGGGGAUCUGGGUGAACCACAUAUCCAAAAUUCACCCAGAUCCGUUCAGUAGUUUGGAAGAUACGGUUUAAUGCAGAUUCCGCAGAACAUAUACAGGCUAUAUGAAAAAUAAUUACUGUUAAAUGUGUCCCCUGUUCUGUAGUUUAAAACUACUGCAUGAUGUCUUUGUGCACCAAAUACCGGCGAGAUGGCACCGUGUAGAAAAGUCCAAACAGUGUCUGUGAGUUAAAAUGGCCGCCAUCCAUUGUUCUCACCAUGUGCUUCAUCCAUUGUUCUCACCAUGUGCCUCUGAUACAUGAAAUGGUGGCCACCCAGUAACUCCACAGUAUGUCCCAGAUGGUUCUUAAAGGGCCAGCAGCAGCACAACACAAAUCCAUUAUGCCCAAAUCAUGUCUUUAAAGGGCAAUACAUCCCAGGGGCCAUAGUCACAUGGCAGGAGGCUGGCAAUCAGUCUUCUCCAAUGCCCAGUGGCGAGGUCGGUUUCGCCACACAGGCAUUUGACUCAUAUUUUUGCUUCCCCCAGUGGAUUUAUUUGUGUUGCAAAAAAAGAUUUUGGGUGUGAAAAAUGUGAGCUGGAAAGUCUAGUUCCUGUUGGUGUCAGGUGUGCACUUUUCUAAUAUCUUCUACUUCUCCUUUGUAUCUCCCUCGGUUGGAGUUCCUCAAAGCUUUGAACUGGGACCUCUUCUCUUGUCAAUUUACACUUCAUCACUUGGCAGCCUAAUAUUAUUCUAUGGCUUUCAAUAUAACUUGUAUGCUGAUGAUAACCAAAUGUACAUCUCUUCAGUAGAUCUCUCUCCUAGUCUGCUAGACCGUGUCACUGAUUUCAUGUCCUCUGUUUCCAGCUGGAUGACUUCAUGAUUCCUAAAACUCAAACUCUCCAAAACUGUCCUGCUUGUCUUUCCAUUCUCAAAGUCCUUUUUCCCUUAAGGUGAAUAGAUCUAUCAUAACAUCUACUCACAGGUACCUUUCCUUUGUGUGCUCUUUGAUUUUGAACUUUCCUUUACCCCUUGCAUAAAUUCUGUCCCCAAAUCCUUAAAAGAAUUUAUUGCGUUUGCCCUUUUCUUAUUCAGGUCCCAACCAAGACACUUGUCCAUGCUCUUGUUGUGUCCUUGAUUAUUGUAACCCUCUGCUUGUCAGGCUAAAAAGUGUCCAGAUUGCCCCUCUACAGUCCAUAAUGAAUACCUCUGCCAAUGAGAGUCUGACAAUUCUCACACCUCUUCUUUCUGGCAGUCUCUACUCUGGCUUCCUGCUCCAUUUAGGAUCCAGUUGAAAUUUCUCAUGCUUAAUUACAUAACUGUACCCCUGCUUAUAUCUCCUCCAGUGACCUCUUCACUCCAUCGACGACCUGUUACUGUCCCGUUCUCACAUCCACACCACAGACUCUUGCCUUCAGGACUCCAGGGCUGCUCCCAACUUAUAAAAAUUCUCACCUAUAGUAUUUUCGACUCUCCUAAUCUCUGCAGUCCUUCAAAAAAUCUCUAAAAAUAUACUUCUUCAUAUAUAUUUCUUUAUUUCCUUUGUGCAUUUGUCAUUCAUUCCUUUUAAUUGUAUGCUCACUUCACCUACUGUGCCCGUAUGUCAAACAUAUUUUGAUAGAAUUAAAUGUUUAUCUUGUUUACCUAUUCUUCAGUGCUGCACAAUCUGUUGGUGCUACAUAAAUUAUUGUAAUUGUAAUUCUAAGCACAAGCAAACAGAAACUCACAUUCUAAUCUUGCAAGUAGACCAGCUCUAAAUUGCCAGUGAAGAACCUAAUCUAAUACUAAGGUGGAUUUUGUUAGAGGCCAAUGGUGUAAUGGGAAAUUAUAAAAAUGGCCCAUGUCAUCAGUAACACCACCAGUACUGCAAGAAUGAGAUGCACAAAGCACACUUGAUGGCCCUUAAGGGAAUGAUACAGUUGAUGUGCUUAUUCAUAGAGUCAACUAACAAUUUUCAAAUUUGUUUAUUGUCAAAUACAGAAAAAGCAUUUGAUAAGAUCAACAUGUAUUAGGAGAACACACACUGAUAGCCUGUUGAGUCAAAUUUUUUCUUUUUAGAACAAUAUAAGAUCUUUACACAUAGUCUGUUUACAGUUAGUCUGGGCUUAAUAUUGUUGUUGUUCUACAUAGAAAAUGGUAAGUGGUAUGCUAGGUUUACUGCUAUUUACUUUUACAGUACAACCAUUUGUUGUAACAAUUAGAAUCUCUCAGACUACAUAAGGUUACAUAAAGGGUUGAAUUUAAAAAGUGUAUGUAGAAAAUGUAAUUUUAACUAGAGCCAGAUUGAGGUUGCCCAGGGCCCUGGGUAUGGUGCCAGAUUGGGGCCCCUUCAUAGAGUCCGGGGCUUUGUUUCUGUAAGUGGUGUUGACUGAGUGUUGUGCAUGUAGGAGGGUAAGAGCUGUAUGGAGAAAGACUGAUUGUCUCUGUGUGAUGACUGAAUUGCAUGUGCAUGUAGGGAAGUCUGAAUAUGGCUAAAUAUGUCUGAGUGGUAUGUGUGUAUGUAUGAUCACGCUCCCUCCACCACACUCAUUCAAUGUAGUAAAACAGGGUCAUGCAAGGAGAUCUUUUGAUCUCCUUUCCGGCUCAAGGAGGGCCAGCCUAAUGGGAAAUCCGUCUCUGAUAUUCACUUUCUUUUUUUUCUUUUUUUUAAUUCUUUUUUUUUGCAGUGCCUAUGAAUAUGACAAACGCACAUGGUGUAACCCCAACGGCAAUCCUCAUGCUUUUUUAAAAAACAUUGGUAACAUUGAGGUAUCAUUAGUACUUGCACAAUUUUCAGUUAGGAAGAGGUUUAGUAGGAUUAUCAUAGGCUAGUUACGAUAUAAAGCAGGACAUGGAAGUUGCAAGGCAUUCAAUUAAAUUAAACCGCACCAUAGUCAAGCAGAAUGUAGAGUACAGAAUUGCGUGUCUAGUCAGAUUAUGAGUAGAGGAAUGCAAGACAGGACCAAUUCUCUGACAUGGUAUCUGAUUCAACAAAGGCAAAAACAUGCAUAAUAUGUGUCAACAUGGUAUCAUCUAUGAUUUAUGGAUAUUCACUUUCUUUAAUGAGUCUUUUAGUUCAAACUCAUCCAACAAUUCAUAAUUUAGUCCAAUUGUGAAUUAUUUCUUAACAAAUGUGAACCUUCAACCCUUAAAAUUGAGCCACAAAGAGGACAACAGUGACAAAGAAAUCUACGUAGGUGGUGGCUAGCAUGAGCUUUUAAAAAAUAUAUAAUAAACAGUUUAAUAAAAUAUAACAAUUAUUGGGUAAGGAACUUAGGCUAUGCAUAGUAAGAUGGGAAGACAAUCUCAUGAAGCAAUUCUUAGCAUUGCACUGGCCAGUUAAAAUUAGAGUUAUGCACAGCAGAAAAUUUAGACUCGGCCAAAUCACUUCAGCUAAAAAAAUAAAUAAUAAUAAUUCAGAAACGGGGCUGUGGCCUGACCUGCUUAGCAAGCAGACAUGUGUUCUGGAAGCUCCUGAUAUGUUUACUCAUCAUUUUAUCUGCCCAAACUCCAAUUCUUUACACAGCUAACUAAUAUGUCACCCGCUAAACAACAUCAAUCUCUAGAGGCGCGGAAGAGAGAUAAACAGAGGGAGAACAUAGGUGGUGGCCACCAUAAGUCGCUGUUGCAUUGUUGGACAUGGUGUUCACAUCAAAGAUUGGGUGCAGCUGUCAUAGACCCGAUUGGCCUCAGAGAGCAAGAUACACGCUAUGCUACAGGACCUGUGAACUACCCUGCAUGCAGACGUUUAAGCUCUCCUGUUGAAUAUCCAUAGGGACAUCUAGUCACUGAGGAAGUGGACUGAGUGCAUUGAAACCACUCUGGACAAGCUAUGUGUCACCCAUAAUGAUGAGGUUGUAGAUAAGCUGGCCUACCUGUCCUCAGAGCAUGAGUGAGUGUUGGUGGAUGUGGAAAAUCGCUCACACUGGAAUAAUAUCAUGAUUCAUGGUAUAGGUGAGUCCGUUACCCAGGUUGAGCUCCAACAUUACCUAACCUUGUUCUUCAAGACCCUUCUACUGGUAAUACCUGAUUCCCAAAGGAAUAGGGCCCACUGCAUCCCAAAGCCGCGGAACAUUGAGGGUGAUGUGCCGAGAGACAUUGUGGUUCAGUUACACUAAUACAAAGCUAAGGAGGCCUUGAUGACAACGGCACGCAAAAAUCAUGACUACGGAUUUAUUUGUGAAUUUAUCAGCUGCCAUCAUGGCAAAACAAAAGGAAUUUGUGGAGGUUACUGCAUUGCUUCCCAUAAAUAAUAUUGCCUAGAGGUGGAGUUACUCCAUGAAGCUGCUGAUCUGGUGGGACAGACCUACCAAGGUGGCCAGCAGACCCAGUGAUGGGAAUAUCCUGCUGCAGUCAUGGAACCUGGAUCUGGCGGUCACAGGAGGGUGCUCCCAGACUCCUCAACCAAUGAGAGUGGCCCUGCAAUGAAAAUGUCAAGGAACAUCACCGUUAGCAAUGGAGUCCCAGCACCACUGGACGAGAUGGCGGACCUCAGGACUGUCGAGUCCAGUUAGGUAUGUCCACCCAACUCUGGCGUUCCCUAUUAAUUACAAGGGUUUGGGGUGGUAUAGCCAAGUUUGGGGAAUGGGGUUCGUGGGUAUACACCUGUGUGGGGAAAAAUCAUUUCCAGGGCAGGAACUUUUUUCUAGUUUUUUGACUAGCACAUCACAGGAAUGUACUGUCCCCAGUUUAGUGAUAGUUGGUUGCAUUGUAAGAAAUCCAAAGUUAUUGUUUUGAGAAUAGAAUGUAUAAAAAAAAAAAAAAACAAUAUAUAAAAAUAAAUUUAAAAUAAAUCUAAUUUUUUUUAAAAUUGCUAAAAAAAUAAAUAAAUGAAAAAGGUGAUUUACAUAUAUAAGUUAUGACUUAUACCCUUCACAUGAGGUGUGUCACCCCUUCAACAUGGCAGCAAAUGUUGUAGUUUAUUCCAUUAACAUGAAUAGCCUGAAUAGCCCCCACCAGUGUCGUACUCUUUUCAAGGAAGCUGAAAGCUACCAAGCUGCAAUCAUAUGCAUACAGGAGACACAGUUCAGCAAAGUUGUCCCUCCUCGCCUUUUCUCCAACCAAUAUCAAACAAGCUAUCGUGCCUAUUCACAAAAAAACAACCCAAAAGGCAUAUUCAUACUGUUUUAUAAUGACUUUUCCUUUCAGUUAAACUCCAAAUAGGAAGACUCGGAAGGUCACCUGUUGGUGGUGGAAGGCCUUCUAAAUUGUGAACAUGUCACAAUAGCAUUAGUAUAUGUGCAGAACUCCUGAAUAAGUCACCAUAUCUUGCUCUACUUUGCCACAAUAGAACUGAUGAAGAGUGGAAGGGAAUUCAACUGAACACUAGAGGCAAGGGAUGCAAGGGAUGUUCAAGGAUUGACACUGACUAAAGUGGCGAUAAAAUAAAACAGUAAAUUCCAAGUCCUAUUACACAAAUACUGCCUGCAUGACAUGUGGAUGGAACACUUGUCUACAAGUAGAGAAUAUACCUUCUAUUUUACAACCCAUUUCAGAUACUCGCGUGAUAACCUUUGCCUCGUUUUCACUCACAACCUCCAAUCUUUAGAUAGGGCAUCCAGUCAAGCCAUUACUUGGUUGGACCACACACUCACUCUCUCAACAUUCACCGCAGUGCAGAGGGAUAUGGGCUGUUGAAUAUAAACAAAGCACUGCUCACUGACAAAUCCAUACAAACAUGCAUAAAGGAGUACAUAGUCACAUUUUUUAGCUGUAACUCACAUGACCAGCAACAGAUCCAUACAGCAUGGUUAGCCCACAAAGUUAUCGUUAGGGGUUACUUAAUCCAACAGGGGUCUAUCAGAAAGAGGACAUUACAGCAUAGGGAACAGCUCACAGCCACACCAGUACCUUUACCACAGUCCUUGGCAUACUAUUUGGAGCGAAUUAUAGUUAGUGUCUGUGAGUGCUUCUCCUUCCUUAAUUUAUGACUUUAUAUGAGUUGGCAAUAUUGUCCUAUUGUGUUGCUUUAUCUUUUUAUCUUUUUUACAUGUGAUACUAAAUUUAAGGUAUUUACCUGUUUAAUCCAUUGUAUGUGGAUAUUUACUGAUGUAAGUGGAUUGUUGCACUUUGCUGUUUACACUUUGCUGUUUACACUUUGCUUUUGCACAGUUAAUUAUGGCACUUUGUUGUAUAAUUUCUCAUUAUUGCAUUAGCACCAUUGGUAUAAUGCACAUUAAUAGGUAUUGUUUGCAUUUUAUUCAUUUGUAUUAAUUGUUUCAAUUAUGUUUAUUAUAAAUUAAUUGUUUUGAACAUUGCACUGCACUAUUUGUUUAUUACGUAUUGCCUAUACUUUAUUGCAUGUUUGAUGGCAUUGAUAGAUAAUCAAUUCAGACAUAUGUGUUAUAAUUAUACAUUUAUUAUAUAUAAAAGAUCAUAAGGAUCAAAGUACUGUAUUUAAAGUAAGUAUGUCAAAGUUAAAUGAAAAUGGUGAUUAUGGCUGCCUUUUUGUCUAUUUAUCUCAAUUAAUAAUGAAUUGUAUAUUUCAUAUUAAUUUGCACACAGUUAAAGUGUAUUGGAUGCCAAUGUGACGGCAUUUGUAAGAUUGUUUGGUAAAACACACACACACACACAAAAGAAAAACUACUCAUCCCUCUGUGCUUCCCCAAACACUUGAAUUGGUUUAGGUGAUUUUGUGCUUUGGAUUAUUUUUUUUUAUUGUGAAUGUUACAUAUAAGUGACACAUCAUGUAUAGUGAUGUCGCGAACCCGAAAUUUUCGGUUCGCGAACGGCGAACGCGAACUUCCGCAAAUGUUCGCGAACCGGCGAACCGCCCGAAACGCCAUUGACUUCAAUGGGGAGGCGAAUUUUAAAACACACAGGGACUUUUUCUGGCCACAAUAGGGAUGGAAAAGUUGUUUCAAGGGGACUAACACCUGGACUGUGGCAUGCCGGAGGGGGAUCCAUGGCAAAACUCCCAUGGAAAAAUUACACAGUUGAUACAGAGUCUGGUUUUAAUCCAUAAAGGGCAGAAAUCACCUAACAUUCCUAAAUCACAAUCAAUAUGGAUUGACACCUGACAUAUGACAUACUGACACCUUGACAUAUGGAUUGACACCUGUCCUCAGAGCCCCUGAUACACACUGACACAGAGCAGAAUAGGGACUGUUCCCCCUACAUCGGGUCACUUGGCAGAUAUGGAUUGACACCUGUCCUAAGGUUCCCUGAUACACACUGACACAGAGCAGAAUAGGGACUGGUCCCCCUACAUCGGGUCACUUGGUAGAUAUGGAUUGACACCUUGUUACAAACUGCUAUUUGUAACGGGCUCCUUUAAAUGGCACCGUUGCUGGGUUGUGGAGAAGCCUAUUUGCCAGCCUCCCUCCGCAUGACUAUGGCCCUGGGAGAUUGUGAAAAAUGUAUGCACUUUUAUUUGCGUGUAUGGCCCCUUAAGACUGUCGGGUGGCAUAUUGGGGCUUAUGGACUCUUUUAUGACUGGUGCUGGCCCCCAAACACCUUUUGGGACAUCAGGAAGAUUGGGACACUGCCCCUUUAAGGCCGCGGUUCCUCAGACUUGUUAGACACGGGCCCCUUUAAGACGGUGUCCCUGUGUCCCCAGACCUGGUGCAAACCCUUUGUGCUCUCGCCUUGCUAUUUCCCCACUCUGGUUCAGUACCGGAAAUUAUUUCAGCUGCAGAGACUAAGUCCCAUUCAGCGAUGGGACUUAGUCUUUUUUUCAGCCGUUUUUUUCAGCCUUAUUUCAGCUGCAGAGACUAAUCAGCCGUUUUUUUCAGCCUUAUUUCAGCUGCAGAGACUAAGUCCCAUUCGGCGAUGGGACUUAGUCUUUUUUUUCAGUCGUUUUUUCAGCCUUAUUUCAGCUGCAGAGACUAAGUCCCAUUCGGCGAUGGGACUUAGUCGUUUUUUCAGCCUGAAAUAGACCGACCUCACAGCCCAAAUCUAUGGAACUGUUUUGGGCAGAAAAAUGUGCUUGCNNNNNNNNNNNNNNNNNNNNNNNNNNNNNNNNNNNNNNNNNNNNNNNNNNNNNNNNNNNNNNNNNNNNNNNNNNNNNNNNNNNNNNNNNNNNNNNNNNNNUCUGUUUGUGGAUGUUUGUGUGUGGAUGUGUGGAUGUCUGUUUGUGUAUGUGUGGAUGUCUGUGGAUGUCUGUUUGUGGAUGUGUGGAUGUCUGUUUGUGGAUGUCUGUGGAUGUGUGGAUGUCUGUUUGUGGAUGUGUGGAUGUCUGUUUGUGGAUGUGUGGAUGUCUGUGGAUGUGUGGAUGUCUGUUUGUGGACGUCUGUUUGUGGACGUCUGGAUGUGUGGAUGUCUGUCUGUGGAUGUCUGUCUGUGGAUGUCUGUUUGUCUCAGUGUGUGUAGGAGUGUAUUUAUGUCUGUUAGCGUUUGUACGUGUGUAUGUGAGUGUAUGUGCUUCUGUUAGUGUAUGCAUGUGUAUGUUUGCAAUUGCAUGUAUGUGCAUAUGUUAUUGUAAGUUACUGUCAAAUAAGUGAGAGUCUGUCAUUUAGUGUGUGUGUGACUAUUAGUGUGUGUCUCUCUGUCAAUGAAUGAGUGUGUGUCAGUGAAUGUGUGUGUCAAAUCAGUGAAGUCUGUGUGUUUGUCAUUGAAUGUGUGUGUUACUGUCAGUGUGUAUCUGCCAGUGUCUGUCAGAGAGUGUGCUUAAAGGGACACUAUAGGCACCCAGACUACUUCAGCUCCUUGAAGUGGUCUGGGUGCAGUGUCCCAGUCCCCUUAAACCUUCUCAGAAACUGCAAUAAUUACCUGAGGGGUAACUCCAAGUCUAGUGGCUGUCUAUCAGACAGCCACUAGAGGGACUUUCGGGUGGUUAGGUGACCAAAGUCACCUAACUGAUGCUGGACGUCCUCACCCUGUGCAUGAGGACAUCCAGCAUCUGCUAAAUACCCAUAGGAUUUUAACCCCUUCAGUGUCGAGUGGGGGAGGGGAGGACAUGAGAGGAGGGGGGCACUAUAUGGAAUUAUAGUGCCAGGAAAACAACUUUGUUUUCCUGGCACUAUAGCAUUUCUUUAAAAGGAGCAGGGAAAGGUGGAGUCUAAAGAGGAAGGGGUGGGUUCUUAAUCAGGAAGUGGUGCACCCUUGACAUGAAGGAGUGGUAAAUUUAGAUUAGGGGGGUGCUCUAUAGUCAUGUCUAGGGCAGCAUAAAAUUAAAAUACACCACUGUGUGAGUGUAUGUGUGUGUGCACGCGUGUGUAUGUGUGUGUGUAUAUAUAUAUAUAUAUAUAUAUAUAUAUAUACAUACAUACAUAUAUAUACAUACAAGUGUUUUGGGUUUUUUUGGGGAGAGUUCCCACACUUUUUUCCCCAGGACUUGACCCCUGAAUAGAUCUAUCAUAACAUCUACUCACAGGUACCUUUCCUUUGUGUGCUCUUUGAUUUUGAACUUUCCUUUACCCCUUGCAUAAAUUCUGUCCCCAAAUCCUUAAAAGAAUUUAUUGCGUUUGCCCUUUUCUUAUUCAGGUCCCAACCAAGACACUUGUCCAUGCUCUUGUUGUGUCCUUGAUUAUUGUAACCCUCUGCUUGUCAGGCUAAAAAGUGUCCAGAUUGCCCCUCUACAGUCCAUAAUGAAUACCUCUGCCAAUGAGAGUCUGACAAUUCUCACACCUCUUCUUUCUGGCAGUCUCUACUCUGGCUUCCUGCUCCAUUUAGGAUCCAGUUGAAAUUUCUCAUGCUUAAUUACAUAACUGUACCCCUGCUUAUAUCUCCUCCAGUGACCUCUUCACUCCAUCGACGACCUGUUACUGUCCCGUUCUCACAUCCGCACCACAGACUCUUGCCUUCAGGACUCCAGGGCUGCUCCCAACUUAUAAAAAUUCUCACCUAUAGUAUUUUCGACUCUCCUAAUCUCUGCAGUCCUUCAAAAAAUCUCUAAAAAUAUACUUCUUCAUAUAUAUUUCUUUAUUUCCUUUGUGCAUGUGUCAUUCAUUCCUUUUAAUUGUAUGCUCACUUCACCUACUGUGCCCGUAUGUCAAACAUAUUUUGAUAGAAUUAAAUGUUUAUCUUGUUUACCUAUUCUUCAGUGCUGCACAAUCUGUUGGUGCUACAUAAAUUAUUGUAAUUGUAAUUCUAAGCACAAGCAAACAGAAACUCACAUUCUAAUCUUGCAAGUAGACCAGCUCUAAAUUGCCAGUGAAGAACCUAAUCUAAUACUAAGGUGGAUUUUGUUAGAGGCCAAUGGUGUAAUGGGAAAUUAUAAAAAUGGCCCAUGUCAUCAGUAACACCACCAGUACUGCAAGAAUGAGAUGCACAAAGCACACUUGAUGGCCCUUAAGGGAAUGAUAAAGUUGAUGUGCUUAUUCAUAGAGUCAACUAACAAUUUUCAAAUUCGUUUAUUGUCAAAUACAGAAAAAGCAUUUGAUAAGAUCAACAUGUAUUAGGAGAACACACACUGAUAGCCUGUUGAGUCAAAUUUUUUAUUUUUAGAACAAUAUAAGCUCUUUACACAUAGUCUGUUUACAGUUACAGGGCUUAAUAUUGUUGUUGUUCUACAUAGAAAAUGGUAAGUGGUAUGCUAGGUUUACUGCUAUUUACUUUUACAGUACAACCAUUUGUUGUAACAAUUAGAAUCUCUCAGACUACAUAAGGUUACAUAAAGGGUUGAAUUUAAAAAGUGUAUGUAGAAAAUGUAAUUUUAACUAGAGCCAGAUUGAGGUUGCCCAGGGCCCUGGGUAUGGUGCCAGAUUGGGGCCCCUUCAUAGAGUCCGGGGUUUUGUUUCUGUAAGUGGUGUUGACUGAGUGUUGUGCAUGUAGGAGGGUAAGAGCUGUAUGGAGAAAGACUGAUUGUCUCUGUGUGAUGACUGAAUUGCAUGUGCAUGUAGGGAAGUCUGAAUAUGGCUAAAUAUGUCUGAGUGGUAUGUGUGUAUGUAUGAUCACGCUCCCUCCACCACACUCAUUCAAUGUAGUAAAACAGGGUCAUGCAAGGAGAUCUUUUGAUCUCCUUUCCGGCUCAAGGAGGGCCAGCCUAAUGGGAAAUCCGUCUCUGAUAUUCACUUUCUUUUUUUUCUUUUUUUUAAUUCUUUUUUUUUUGCAGUGCCUAUGAAUAUGACAAACGCACAUGGUGUAACCCCAACGGCAAUCCUCAUGCUUUUUUAAAAAACAUUGGUAACAUUGAGGUAUCAUUAGUACUUGCACAAUUUUCAGUUAGGAAGAGGUUUAGUAGGAUUAUCAUAGGCUAGUUACGAUAUAAAGCAGGACAUGGAAGUUGCAAGGCAUUCAAUUAAAUUAAACCGCACCAUAGUCAAGCAGAAUGUAGAGUACAGAAUUGCGUGUCUAGUCAGAUUAUGAGUAGAGGAAUGCAAGACAGGACCAAUUCUCUGACAUGGUAUCUGAUUCAACAAAGGCAAAAACAUGCAUAAUAUGUGUCAACAUGGUAUCAUCUAUGAUUUAUGGAUAUUCACUUUCUUUAAUGAGUCUUUUAGUUCAAACUCAUCCAACAAUUCAUAAUUUAGUCCAAUUGUGAAUUAUUUCUUAACAAAUGUGAACCUUCAACCCUUAAAAUUGAGCCACAAAGAGGACAACAGUGACAAAGAAAUCUACGUAGGUGGUGGCUAGCAUGAGCUUUUAAAAAAUAUAUAAUAAACAGUCUAAUAAAAUAUAACAAUUAUUGGGUAAGGAACUUAGGCUAUGCAUAGUAAGAUGGGAAGUUAUGCACAGCAGAAAAUUUAGACUCGGCCAAAUCACUUCAGCUAAAAAAAAUAAUAAUAAUAAUUCAGAAACGGGGCUGUGGCCUGACCUGCUUAGCAAGCAGACAUGUGUUCUGGAAGCUCCUGAUAUGUUUACUCAUCAUUUUAUCUGCCCAAACUCCAAUUCUUUACACAGCUAACUAAUAUGUCACCCGCUAAACAACAUCAAUCUCUAGAGGCGCGGAAGAGAGAUAAACAGAGGGAGAACAUAGGUGGUGGCCACCAUAAGUCGCUGUUGCCAUUGUUGGACAUGGUGUUCACAUCAAAGAUUGGGUGCAGCUGUCAUAGACCCGAUUGGCCUCAGAGAGCAAGAUACACGCUAUGCUACAGGACCUGCGAACUACCCUGCAUGCAGACGUUUAAGCUCUCCUGUUGAAUAUCCAUAGGGACAUCUAGUCACUGAGGAAGUGGACUGAGUGCAUUGAAACCACUCUGGACAAGCUAUGUGUCACCCAUAAUGAUGAGGUUGUAGAUAAGCUGGCCUACCUGUCCUCAGAGCAUGAGUGAGUGUUGGUGGAUGUGGAAAAUCGCUCACACUGGAAUAAUAUCAUGAUUCAUGGUAUAGGUGAGUCCGUUACCCAGGUUGAGCUCCAACAUUACCUAACCUUGUUCUUCAAGACCCUUCUACUGGUAAUACCUGAUUCCCAAAGGAAUAGGGCCCACUGCAUCCCAAAGCCUCGGAACAUUGAGGGUGAUGUGCCGAGAGACAUUGUGGUUCAGUUACACUAAUACAAAGCUAAGGAGGCCUUGAUGACAACGGCACGCAAAAAUCAUGACUACGGAUUUAUUUGUGAAUUUAUCAGCUGCCAUCAUGGCAAAACAAAAGGAAUUUGUGGAGGAUACUGCAUUGCUUCCCAUAAAUAAUAUUGCCUAGAGGUGGAGUUACUCCAUGAAGCUGCUGAUCUGGUGGGACAGACCUACCAAGGUGGCCAGCAGACCAGCACAUCACAGGAAUGUACUGUCCCCAGUUUAGUGAUAGUUGGUUGCAUUGUAAGAAAUCCAAAGUUAUUGUUUUGAGAAUAGAAUGUAUAAAAAAAAUAAAUAAACAAUAUAUAAAAAUAAAUUUAAAAUAAAUCUAAUUUUUUUUAAAAUUGCUAAAAAAAAAAUAAAUGAAAAAGGUGAUUUACAUAUAUAAGUUAUGACUUAUACCCUUCACAUGAGGUGUGUCACCCCUUCAACAUGGCAGCAAAUGUUGUAGUUUAUUCCAUUAACAUGAAUAGCCUGAAUAGCCCCCACCAGUGUCGUACUCUUUUCAAGGAAGCUGAAAGCUACCAAGCUGCAAUCAUAUGCAUACAGGAGACACAGUUCAGUAAAGUUGUCCCUCCUCGCCUUUUCUCCAACCAAUAUCAAACAAGCUAUCGUGCCUAUUCACAAAAAAACAACCCAAAAGGCAUAUUCAUACUGUUUUAUAAUGACUUUUCCUUUCAGUUAAACUCCAAAUAGGAAGACUCGGAAGGUCACCUGUUGGUGGUGGAAGGCCUUCUAAAUUGUGAACAUGUCACAAUAGCAUUAGUAUAUGUGCAGAACUCCUGAAUAAGUCACCAUAUCUUGCUCUACUUUGCCACAAUAGAACUGAUGAAGAGUGGAAGGGAAUUCAACUGAACACUAGAGGCAAGGGAUGCAAGGGAUGUUCAAGGAUUGACACUGACUAAAGUGGCGAUAAAAUAAAACAGUAAAUUCCAAGUCCUAUUACACAAAUACUGCCUGCAUGACAUGUGGAUGGAACACUUGUCUACAAGUAGAGAAUAUACCUUCUAUUUUACAACCCAUUUCAGAUACUCGCGUGAUAACCUUUGCCUCGUUUUCACUCACAACCUCCAAUCUUUAGAUAGGGCAUCCAGUCAAGCCAUUACUUGGUUGGACCACACACUCACUCUCUCAACAUUCACCGCAGUGCAGAGGGAUAUGGGCUGUUGAAUAUAAACAAAGCACUGCUCACUGACAAAUCCAUACAAACAUGCAUAAAGGAGUACAUAGUCACAUUUUUUAGCUGUAACUCACAUGACCAGGAACAGAUCCAUACAGCAUGGUUAGCCCACAAAGUUAUCGUUAGGGGUUACUUAAUCCAACAGGGGUCUAUCAGAAAGAGGACAUUACAGCAUAGGGAACAGCUCACAGCCACACCAGUACCUUUACCACAGUCCUUGGCAUACUAUUUGGAGCGAAUUAUAGUUAGUGUCUGUGAGUGCUUCUCCUUCCUUAAUUUAUGACUUUAUAUGAGUUGGCAAUAUUGCCCUAUUGUGUUGCUUUAUCUUUUUAUCUUUUUUACAUGUGAUACAAAAUUUAAGGUAUUUACCUGUUUAAUCCAUUGUAUGUGGAUAUUUACUGAUGUAAGUGGAUUGUUGCACUUUGCUGUUUACACUUUGCUUUUGCACAGUUAAUUAUGGCACUUUGUUGUAUAAUUUCUCAUUAUUGCAUUAGCACUAUUGGUAUAAUGCACAUUAAUAGGUAUUGUUUGCAUUUUAUUCAUUUGUAUUAAUUGUUUCAAUUAUGUUUAUUAUAAAUUAAUUGUUUUGAACAUUGCACUGCACUAUUUGUUUAUUACGUAUUGCCUAUACUUUAUUGCAUGUUUGAUGGCAUUGAUAGAUAAUCAAUUCAGACAUAUGUGUUAUAAUUAUACAUUUAUUAUAUAUAAAAGAUCAUAAGGAUCAAAGUACUGUAUUUAAAGUAAGUAUGUCAAAGUUAAAUGAAAAUGGUGAUUAUGGCUGCCUUUUUGUCUAUUUAUCUCAAUUAAUAAUGAAUUGUAUAUUUCAUAUUAAUUUGCACACAGUUAAAGUGUAUUGGAUGCCAAUGUGACGGCAUUUGUAAGAUUGUUUGGUAAAACACACACACACACACACACACAAAAGAAAAACUACUCAUCUCUCUGUGCUUCCCCAAACACUUGACUUGGUUUAGGUGAUUUUGUGCUUUGGAUUAUUUUUUUUUAUUGUGAAUGUCACAUAUAAGUGACACAUCAUGUAUAAUAUCGUCUUCAAAAAUUUGUGACUAACGAGCAGUUAUACAGUUGACAUUGCAAACGAAACACAGUACAUCUACUUUUUGUAAUAGAAAACAAAGGAAAAAAUGUGAUAAAAAAGAAGCAACUUCUACAUCCAGUUCCCUUAGAUAGCUAGUGUUCAAUUUGUGCGUUCAGUGUUGCAUAGUUGAGGUCUGCAGUAAUAUGUCACAUCAGACCUUAUGAAAAGUAGUUAUGUUUAGAUUUUGUCUUAUAGUAACUUGUAUGCUCCCCAUGUGACCACGAGAUAUGGACCAAGCUCAGAUGUCAUUCUGGAACACCUGGUGGUCCAGGAGAUGUUGGGAGGCUUAACAUAUUUUGCACCAGUACCUAAUGGAGUUUGAGACUGUGAAGAACCCUGUUAGAGAUUUAUUUCAGCAUUUACCCUUGGAAGAAAAUACAUUUUAUUUUAGUGCCAUCUCUAGGCCAUUUGUAAUAAUGUGACAAACUGCAAAUUAUGUAGGAAGCAACAAUAAUCUUUCUGCUCUUACCGAUCUUACUUGAAGUUGCUCAAGUUUGGCAUAAAUAAAUGUAAACAUUUUGAUAAAAACCCUGUCAUUCAAUUGUUGUUAUAUUUAUCGGUUACUAAUCUAGGAAAGGAUCAGCUGAGGGUAAAGCAAACAAUUUAUUUGCAAAUUGCAUACUUAUCCAGAGAAAUUAGAUCAUUUUCAUAAUAGUAAAAGAAAAAAUUCCUUUUAGCUGGAUUGGCAGCAGAAACUCUCUAAAAUUCCACUUCUAGUUUAUUUACAAUGACCUACGGACAUUUUUAGCAAUUCUUUGAAUCAGCUGCAUUUUUAUGUUAAGCUAUAAAAGCUUUGUCUAAUAGAGCAUAUUCGGAUGCAUGACAGCCUCCUGCUGAGUUUAAUUAGUAACGACGUGACAAUAACUGGCAGAAUACUUAUUGGGCCAAUCUGCCGUAAUUUUAUGUGCAAAUAUAAACAAAAAUAUAAGGUAACUUAAAGAAAAGUAUAAUAUCACUAAAACCAAAUAGUAGCUACCAAGCCUGUUUUCAUACACUCUUCGCUCCCUGUUUUCAUACAUUCUACACAAAUUGAAUCCUGCAAGUAGCUAUUAUUGCCUGUAUAACAUUGGGGUUCAUGUAAUUAUUUAUGUAUGUAUUUAUUUAAUAUUUAUUUUGUCUGAUUUUAGGAGUUUUACAUGCGCUUAUUGGCUAGUUAAUUAGGUGCACCUAUUAAUUAACACAAACUGCCAAAGAGUAAAUUAUAUAGCUGCGCGCUGAAUUGGUAACGUAACACUCCAAUGGGAAAAAAUAUUAUUAUUUUUUUUAAAACAAUUUAGCAGAUAUAUCCCCAAUGGAAACAUGCAUGCAUUUAUUGCUUAAUUUUUUUUCUAUCUAAAAACAAUUUGCAAAAAGUGCAGAUUUGCAGCCUUUUCAAGCCCUUCCACUCUUCUACAUGCCAGACUUUCUGUGGCUGGGAUCACAGACUUCCAUAUGCAGCUCAAUGAGAUGUCUUUGCAAAUUGGGCAGUCUGGGCAGUUGCCUGCCUCUUGAGUUUAGCUCUACUGAGCUAAACAAGCAGGAAAUAUCAGGACCAAGUGAACGAUUGACAGCCAUCCUCGUGAAGCAAGGUUAAUUUAUAAAAGUGCCAAUUUCUAUUGAAACCAAAAUUGUUUGUAAAACAUAAAAAAGAGGACAUACUCUUCACACAUAAAUCACUUCAGCAGGUGCUUUAAGUGUUUGGAAUGUUUCUUUAAGAUGCUUUUUGUUUAGCCAAACAUUAGAACUAGGACAACAUAAUAAGUUCUUUCUCGGGUCUCCCUCCUUCUGUCUCUCCUUCAUCUCUUGUUUGUUGCUGUUAUCUUUGACAUAUUUGUCUGUUUUCUCUCUUAUUUUGUCACAGGUUAACUGUACUUCCAGGACAGGGCAGUGAAUACCAAAAAGUGUUCAGCUGAGACUUGCGGAGUGGUGUUCUGCUUUUGGCAACGAAUUUGCCAUGAUACAAAACAGUCUGUUGGAUGAGAACCCCUUCUGUUGGCAUAUAGUUAUUUAUUGAGCUGACGUGUUUUGUUAAGUAGAAGCUGUGGCUGUCAGACUAUUCCCCUUUAACUGGUAUGCUGUGGUUAUUGGGUAGGGUAACAGAUCUCUA